rnacentral:lncRNA from 1 species
UUUUUUUUUUUUUUUUAGCAUGUGCUUUUUUUGAUGAAAAAGAUAGACACAUUUUAUUAAUGAUGUUACAGGAAAUCGUUCAUGAGUUGCUUGACAAAAUUUGGAAGGGAAUUUCAAAGAGCUUAAAAAAGAUUAGCACUCUUAGCAUGAUGGGUUAAAGUAUGAGCUGCCUUAAUUCGCUUCUCCUGGAAUCCAUUGAUUCAUUGAAUAUCAAUACAAAGCUGAUCUAAUAAUGCUAAAUGCACGUCCUCAAUAAUUGGACCUGAAUCAGACACGAUGUCUUCUUUGUCCUGUCUUCUUUGCCAUGAAUAAAUCUUAUAAUUGAGGCUGCAUCUCCCUGCAAUUUUGGAUCAUUUGUGGGCCUCAAAAUCAAAUAAUUCCAGGGAACAUCAGAAGUCAAUCGGAACGAAUAUCACAAUGGACUUGAUUGGAACGAAAAUGCCUCACCAAUCCCACAAUCCAUUCCAGUUGAAGUUAAGAUCAGCAAUAUCGUUAAUUAGCCCCUUAAGCUUUGUUUAAUCAUAGCUUACGCCUAUUGUCUUACAUCUGAAGCAGAUACUCUUUUGGUUUUUUCAUCUUAAGCAGAUACCAUUUGCUAUAUCGCAGUCAAUUAAAUAGUUAAACCAUUUGCUUGCUAGACUGACGAGGGAAAUUAACAAUAUAAACCACUGAACAGAAAAUCUUUUUUUUUUUUUUUUUAUAAUAAAAUAGAAUAAUUUUAUUAAUCAUGAGAUUGAAUCUACAACAAGUGCAGAACAAAUAAAAGAUGGAGGAGAGUUUCUCCAUAUACAAGAAUCUGAAAAAUUAAUAGCAUACUUAGCAAAGUUAUGAGCAGGAACAUUAAACAACCUAGAAAUCCACGAAACUUCCCAACACAUGAACUCUUGACAUAAGACAAUGGUAUCAUCAAUCAACAAGCCACAUGAUGAAUCAUCAGAUUCCAAACGGUUCAGCAUUUUGAUGACUUUUUGUGAAUCUCCUUCCAAAACCAUUUUAUUGAAACCCAAAGAUUGUAGUAAUUGAGCCGCAUGUUUGGCCGCAUAUGAUUCAACCACAUUUGGUUCCAAUAUCCCAAGAAUUUUCUUGGAGAGGCCAGCAAUGAAACUUCCUGUAUCAUCUCGAAUAAUAACACCAACUCCUGAUGAUUUAUCAUCCAUAAACACAGUUCCAUCAAAGUUUGCCUUAACAAAACCUGCAUUGGGUCGUAUCCAAUGACCUAUUGAUAACCUUGAUUGAAGAGAGGUAGACGUAUCGCACUUAUCUUUGGAAUUUGUUUCAUGGAAUUGAUUUAGGAAUGCUAUGGACAGGGAGACCAAGCUAAGAGGAUCUCUGUAGGGCCCAUCAAAGAUUGCUCCAUUUCGAUUAUUCCAUAAAUUCCAAAGAAUAACACCUACCAAUUCCAUCUCUUUGCUUGAUAGUUGCCAAAGCUGGUUGGGAAGCCAAGACGUAACCUGAUCAGCCGAUUGCAAUUGAACUUUCUGGCUUAAGAAACUAAGUGCCCACGAUUGCACAGCUACAGGACAAGUUAAGAAGGUAUGAUCAAUAUCAUCAACUGGAGCGAGACAUAAAGGGCAAGAUGUAUCUAAAUGGAGCCCUUUAGUAUUGAGUUUUGUGCUGGUUGGUAGUAUAUCUUUACAAGCCCUCCAUAAGAAAAUUUUAAUUUUCUCAGGAAGAUUCAAGUGCCAAAGCCGAGACCAAACACUGUGCUUUAGAGUACUACUACUUGAUGGCAAAUUCUCCCAAUUAGAAGAUCGCUGCUUGAUCAAGUGAUACGCACUCAUCAUAGUAAAAGAUCCAUUCUUUGAAAAGUGCCAAAUUAGCUUAUCUCUAUUGUGAGUGUCUCCAAUUGGAAUGCUUUGAAUUAACUCAAUCUCCUCGGGCCAAAAAAAUUCUUGCAAUAAGUCAACUCGCCAAAUCUUUCGCUCUUAAUCUAUUAGGCAAUCAACUGUGGAAUUCUCCGGCAAUGCAGUAGACCGCGACACGAUUUUAAAAGUAGAUGGCCGUGGAAGCUACCUAUCUUUCCAGAUUUUGAUAGACUGGCCAGAACCAACUCGCCAUCUGCUUCCUGCUUCAAUAUACUUCCUGACCUCACAUAGUCCGCGCCAAGACUAGGAAGGCCGUGAUCCUUCUUGAACUUGGAAGAAAUCAGUAUUUGGAAAAUAUUUAGUUUUAUAUACCCGAUGAAGAAGGAUAGAUGGUUGUGUAGCAAUACGACCACUGAACAGAAAAUCUAGCAUUUAUAUUAAAUAAAAGAAUUUUACUGAUGCAUAUUAUUUGCUGCAAUCCUUAAACCAUCCAAGCCUAAGAAUUUAAAAUAAAAGGUCUACAUGAAUAAAAUAAAAGAUUGGAGAUUAAAGAUGCUUUAGAAAAAAAAAAGGGGGUUAAUUUAAAGGACUAAAUGAACUACUUGCAAAUUUUUUUUGUCCUUCCAGGUUAAAUGAUUUGUCGUUAAUGGUAUUGAAAUAGUUAAAAAUUAAAAUUAUUGGGACUAAAUGUAUUUUCAUAAAACUUUAAAAGGAGAAAAUGGUGUAACCCCAUAAGUUAGAGGUAUAAAGUGUCAUCUUUUCCAUUUGUAAAAUUUUCAAUUGGUUUGCUGAUUUUCUGUCAAAUAUUUUUACAUUAAUUUGUUUUUCUAUAUGCUGACAAUACAUACUAUCAAAGUCGGAUACAUGACAACUGAUAUGAAUUUGAGUUUGAAAUAUAAAUAUUUUGCAUAUGUAGUAUGCAUCAAACUCCGUUAACGUAUACACUAUUCGGGUACAAAAGAUUAAUCAUAAUUUAAAUUUCAAACGAGAGUGUCGAAGUUGUAGGAUAACGUGAAUCAGCAAAUCAAUUUAACAACUAGCUGCUGCCAAGGAAUCAACAUUUCCAUUAGUUGAAUGCAGAAUAUGUCUCCACAAGAAUAUCUUGAUUUUCCACGGCGGGUCAUUGUCCAGUGCGUAGGACCCAAAAAAAUUCCAAUGGAAAGUUAUAGGUGACAAAUUUCAUAGAACCAAUGUAGAUGGGGAGGCAAAUUUCACACACACAAAUAUGCAUAGGGGAAGAGGAAUAAAUCAGUAAUAUAUUAUUAAUUACACAAAAUAAUAUGGUUCUCAAAUUUCAUUCUUCUCAACUAAUACUAAUAAUAAUAAGACUAGACUAGGUAAUUUGGUAAACAAGUCUUACAAUCACAAGAAAUUUUCUAAUAAAAUACUAAUUUCUAAACAAUAAAACUACUAUAAUUUAAAUCAAACAGAAUUACCAAAACCAUAACAUAAAAUAUUGCUAAAUAAUAAUAUGAAAAUUUCUAUUUUUUAACCUUGAUUUAACAUUGUCGGACACAACACGUUGUCAAGUUAUCUGCAUAACUUAAUCAAGUUUGUUUACUAGUCUUCUUGUCUAAAUGUCGCGUCAUCUUAAUCCAGAUCGGCAGAUUGAAUGACCAGAAUCAAGAUAUUAUCAGUUAAGUCAAGACAUUACUAGGUUGCCUAUCUAACCACCACCACGUUAGAAAAACAAAUUUUAGCAAAGUUAUUCUGUCUUCCAAUAACCCUUUAUCAUUUUUCUCCUAAGCAUAGUGUAUUUUGUUGCACGUUCGAUGACAAAUCGGAAACGAAUAUGCGAAUGCAAACAUAAACCAGAAUUAACUUGUAAAACAAAAGCUACUCACCUCAAAUUAUUGAUUUCAUGCUAGUCUUCGGAAUCCCAUUAUCUAUUUUUUCCAGUUCAUAUCACCAAUCUGUGAGUAUAUUUCCAAUUCAAUCCCUUUUGGAUCGUUUAUGUGUCCCAAUCAAAUAAUGCACCGGAUUUAGCCGUCAGAAUGAGCUUAGAUUAAAAUGCAAAUGCCUCGCCAACUCCAUGAUCCAUAUCCAUUAAAAGAGCUGAAGAUAAGAAAAGUAGAAGAAUAUUGUUAAUUUUGCAUCUUAAGUAGAUUGCUUUUCCUAUAUCGUAGUCAGUUAAAACACUUAAUCUUCACUGGCUCGACUUUUCCAUGAAGACUUUCCGGUCGUCGGCAUUUUAUCACUUUCAUGUAGUUCUUCAAACGCAGAAUGGUGAAAUGAUGCUUUUAAACGUGUUUAAAUGAAACUGCUAAUCUAACCAUACUUUGUCAAAUAAACCAAUAUCAAAAGAAAUCCAAUGGAGCAUCAUCUUCUUUGUACUCCUUCGUCUAUGCUAAUACUGUUGUUAUUCAGUUCUAUUCUUGUGACCAGCCAGUUCUCGUUUGGGAGCAGCAAACAAGCUUAUAAUUAUUCAAAUUUCUCUUGUAUUGAGAGUGAAUGACAAGCUCUUCUUCAAUUCAGAGAUGGGUUAACAGAUGAAUCAAAUCAUCUGUCAUCUUGGAUAGGAGAAAACUGUUGUUCAUGGAAAGGCGUUGGUUACCAUCAAAUCACUGACCGUCUGGUGAAAUUUGAUCUACACAAUGCGAGCCCGUUACGUUCAAAUGAUAUAUUUAUUUACUGAAAAAAUUGCUUGGGAGGCCAAUUAAGUCCAUUUUUGGUCAAUUUAACCAAUUUGCGACACCUAAAUUGAAGCUGGAAUAAUUUUUCAGGAAUCCAAGUUCCCACGUUCCUUGGAUUGUUGAAAAACUUGAGAUACUUAAAUCUCCUGAAUGCAGUGUUCGACGGUGAAAUUCUAGGCCAUCCAGGAAAUCUCUCAUGUUUACAGCAUUUAGAACUUGGAGGUGUAACUCCAUUCUCAAUAAAAAAAAAAUAGAGCUUAGAGAAUCCGUAAAAUAUUCAAUUUAUUUGGUGAUUUCUUGCAGGAAACUCCCAUGUUAAUUUAACUGCAAAAGAGAGGAUCAAAACUUAUUUGUGUAGCAACGUAAAUCAGUAAACAGUUCAUCAAUAUUAUGAUUGCCAAUGCGAUACUUGUCGCCUUCCUGUUACAAGUCUCUUUCCAACGGGGAAAACCUACAGCAUAAAUGUCCAAUUAAUUCAUAAAUCAGAAUUAACUUGUAAUUGCAAUUAUAAGCCGCUCGUCUCAAAUUCUGAUUAGUUUCGUCCUAUUCUUCAGAAUCCCAUUGGAUAAACUCUAUCAUUCCCAUCCAUACAAAGUUGUGUGCUUAGAUUUGCUUUCUCAUCUGAAUUACAGGUCAAUCCGCCGUCACAAUGGGACUUGAUUAGAACGCAAAUGCCUCACCAACCAUAUUCCCAUUGAAGUCACCGUAAUCCAUUCCCGUUGAAGUCAAGAUUAGCAAUAUCGUUAAUUAGCCCCUUCAGCUUUGUUUAAUCAUAGCUUACCAUUGUUGCUUUGUACAUCUUAAGCAGAUGCCUUUUACCAUAUCAUAGUCAAUUAAAUCGUUAAGAGUAAAACUGAUAGUGUAUAUAUCAUCGUCGUUGAAUGCAUGAUAUAUAAUUAAAAUUCAAAUUUUAAAUUCAAAUUUACAUUACUUAUCAUUCAUCCAAGGUUGGUUGACAGGAUAUAUUCCAUCAGUGUAUAAAAGGUUAACCCCAUAGUUAUAUCGUUUCCUUGCUAGACUGUCUGAUGAGGGAAAUUAACAAUAUAAUCCACGAAACAGAAAAGCUAGCACUUAUAUACAUAAAAAAAAUGAAACAGUAGAAGUUGUUUUGGUGGGGAGGGGUGUUGGGUGGGGGGGAGUGAGUGUUUAAGAAAGUUAGAAAAAAAGGGGAAAGAGUAAACAUAUCUAACAAAUAAACAUAAAUUGGAAGAAAGUAAAGGUCAGUUUCUGUUUUAACAAGAACAGUUAAAAUUUUGUUCACGCCCUUUAACGCCACUGAAGGAAGUAAGACAAGAGCAGCUUUGGUAAGAGAAAAAAAUAAAAGGGCUAAAUGGAUGAAAUCAAAGAUUGGAGAUUAAAGAUACUUUGGAUUAAAAAAAAAAGUUAAACUACUAAAUGAACUACUUGCAAAACUUUUUUUUCCCUUCCAAAUUAAUUGAUUUGUCAUUCAUGGUAUUGAAAUAGUUAAAAAUUAAAAAUAUAGUGAAUAACUAUAUUUUUCAAUUGGUUUUGUGAUUUUUUGUCAAGCAUUUUUAUAUUAAAGAAUCUUUUGUACAUUAAUAAUGGAUACUAUCAAGAUUGGAUGCAUGAUAACCGAUAAGAAUUUGAAUUUAAAAUCUAAGUUUUGCAAAUGCAACAAUCAUUAAACUCCAUUAUCCUCUAUAUUAUCAGUUUAUAAAAGAUUAAUCGUAAUUAAUUUAAAUUACAAAUGACAGCGUUGAAAUCGUGUGAUAACGUGAAUCAGCAAAUGAAUUUUACAACCAGCUGCUGAGGAAUGAACAUUUCCAUUAGUUGAGUGCAGAAUAAGUCUCCAAGGAGAUUUUUUUCCAGAAGAAUAUCUUGAUUUUCCACGGCGGAUCGGGACUUCCAUUGGCCAGUGGACUUGCAGUCGUCGGAUGCAACAGACGGUCAAGUUUUCUACGCAAAUUAAUCAUGUUUGUUUACUAGUCUUCUUAUUUAAAUUUCAUUUCAUCUAAAUCUAUAUCAGCAGAUUGAAUGACUAGACUCUUAAAAGAUAGGAAAAUAUUGUAGUAACUAUCGUUAUGGUAACUAAAUAAUUUUUUCCUGAUAUAACGGGUUAUUAUACUUUUAACGAUCAUUUGAUUACCUGUUGGACCUAUCCACCUAAAUAGGAUAAUGCCUAAAACUAAGGAAGUAAGUUUCUCAUCUAAAAUAGUAAGUUAACCAUAAUAAUUAGUAACUUUUGUGUCUCAAAAGGUAAAUUGGAAUAAAUAUAAAACUUACUUUUUAAAGAGAUAAAUUACUAUAUUAUAUCUCAAACAUACUUUUGAGAGAGUAAGUUUAGUUCAAGUAAUAGUAAGUUUUUAUACAUAAAUAGUAAUUCUUACUUAUAACAUAUUAAAUUUGAUUAAUGACCAAAACUUACUAAUUUAUGGCACAAAUGUACUAUUUGGCUUAAAAAACUUAUAACAAACCAAUACUAGGAAGUUUAUUUGAAAUAACAAUAAAAUGUUUUAUUAAUGAUUAAAUCUUAGUACCUUAGUUAGUAAGUACUCGUAAUAUACUUGUAUAAUACAUGAUUAUAUGUAUAAUUUAAAUUUUUUUGUAUUUAUAUAUUUUAAAAUACUAUGAAAAAUAUUUGGACCCUUCACAUAACCUUAUAAAAUAAUAAAAUUUUGUCGUAUUAUAAUUUUGAAUAAUUUUUGAAAAUUUUCAAAGUUUGGAUAAUAAUAACAACACAUCUUCCUAGUUAUAUAUGGAAUAUCACUUAUCUAUGUAAUUUCUAUAAUUUAAAACCUAUUAAUAUAAUAAGAUGACAAAGUUUUAAUAUAUUUAUUGUCUGGGACACAAGAAAUAAUAAGAAUUAAACUUGUAUUAAUAUAGACCUAACAAAAAGAGAGAAAUAGUGUAACAAUUAAUACAACAAUAAAAAUAACAUAAUUAGUAUAACAAAAUUAGUAUAAUCUGGAAUUUUUUUCUCUGGAGAUUACUCACGAAUAUAAGAUCCAACCACUAAACAAAAAUCACAUGCAUAUAUAAUCUAUUGUAUAAUUUAAAUUAAAUUUAGUUCAUGUACAAAAUGAUCCUAAAAUAAUUAGCACACUACAAUACCAUAUUAUUUUAACAAAAAAGUUUUUUUUUUGCCAAAAGUCUCCAAUAUCCAUGACAUAUGUAUGAGAGAUAUUUUACCAUAUUUUUAUCUCUCUUUUUUUCCCAUAUUUGUAUCUCAUGUCUAAUCAUUGAUGUUAAUUUGAGGAAGAAUAUUAUGUAUAAUAAAAUUAUUUUGAAUUUAAUUAACAAGUUGAGAUUUUUUUAAAAAUAAAAGUGAAAUAUUUUGGGAACUUAUUUUUUGUUUUCCCAAAAUUAAAAGAUUGCAAUUUUUUACAAAUUGUUGCCAUAACAUUUCAUUUUCUAGACUAAUUUUUAUCAAUGUAAAAUUAGUUUAGUUAACAAUAAUUGAAGUUUUGUUGGUCCGAGGAUUGGCAUGCUAUUGUUGUUAUUUUACAUGUAAAUAUAUUACCUAAGUAAUAAAAUAAACAAUAGCUACUUAAAAAAAGGAAAUAGGUGCUCAAUUGAUUGCAUUCAAACUACGAAUUCUGUUAAUGAAUAAUUGCUAAAUUAUAAUUUUAUUUACAAGGAAUCAAUAUGCAUCAUAUAUUGACCAGGACUAAAUUACUGAUUACUUAACAAAUUAUAUCUAAACACAUGAUGUGAUGUAUAUUGCAUUUGGUCACCUUUAUACUCAUACCAUUUUCUUUUCUUCCUAUUUAUAUUUUAAAAGUGCAAAAUUCUCUUGAUUAUAUUAGUGAAAAUGCAUAAAAUCUUUUACAAAAUUAUUUCAAUUUAUUUACAAAAUAUUAGUACUUUUAUAGAAACAAUGCAUUGUAGGAAUGGUUUACUAAUUUUUUAGUAAACAUAACUAUUGCAUUAAAAAGUUAAAAAAAACUUGAUUUUAUUAUGCUUUAAUUAGGAGUGCUUUUGAAGAAAAGAAUUUGGGGAUUAAUUUCUCUGAUUCAAGAAUUUUUAGAGAUUGUAAUGAUCAAAAGAAAAAGAAUUUUUAGAAAUUGUAACUCUCUUAUUAUUUGAUAUAAUAAAUUUGAUAUUUGUGCAAGUUUUCAUGUCUUUUUAUUUUCGGCAAUGAAAUUUGUGCUUACAGUUAAAUACAAUUAUGGUAAAAUAUCCCUCAUAUGUAUGUCAUGGAUAUUUGAGACUUUCAGUAAAAAAAUUUUUUGUUGUUCCGUUUGGAUUGGUUAUUUUUUUAAAAACAAGUUUUUCAAAUACAAUGUUAUGGUAAUACACAAUAACUCAAAAAAUAUCUUAUCCAUACAAUAUAUCAAAAAUUUCAAAAAAAAUUUUAUAGUAAAAAUUUUUCAUAUACAUUGUUACAGUAAAAUUUUUCAAAAACACCUCUAAAAACAGUUAAUCGAAACGGAUUAAUAUUAUAGUGCGCUAAUUAUUUUAGAACCGUUUUUUACGUGAACUGAAUUUAAUUUAAAUUAUACAAUAGAUUAUAUGUGCAAGUGAUUUUCAUUUAAUUGUUGGAUCUUUUUUUUUUAUGAACAAUCUCCCAAGGAAAAAAGUCCAGAUCAUACUGAUUUUCUUAUAUUAACUGUUAUACUAAUUUUGUCAUUUUUAUUGUUAUACUAUUUCUCAUUUUGUUUGGGUUUUAACUCUUAUUAAUUCUUGUGUCCCAGAUGUAAAUUUAUUAAAACUUUAUCAUCUUAUUAUAUUCAUAGGUGUUAAAUUAUAAAAAUUGUGAUAUACAAACAAGUGAUAUUCUAUAUUUAACUAGGAAGAUUUGUUGUUAUUGUUAUCCAAACUUUUAAACUUUUCAAAAAUUGAAAAUUGAAAAUGAUUAAAAACUUAUAAUAUGACAAAAUUUUAUUAUAUAUUUUACAAGAUUAUCUAAAAAAUGAAACUACUUUUCAUAGUAUUUUAAAAUAUAUAAAUACAAAAAAAUUUUAAAUUAUACAUAUAAUCAUUUAUUAUACAAGUAUAUUACGAGUACUUAAUAACUAAGGUACUAAGUUUUAAUUAUUAAUAAAACAUCUUAUCAUUAUUUCAAUUAAACUUCCUAAUACUAGUUUGAGAUAAGUUUUUAAUGUAAAAUUGUACAUGUAUUCCAAAAAUUAGUAAGUUUUGAUCAUUAAUCAAAUUUACCAUGUUAUUAGUAAAAAUUACUAUUAUGUAUAAAAACUUAUUGUUAGUUGAACUAAACUUACUCUCUAAAAAGUAAGUUUGGAAUAUAAAGUAGUAAUUUAUUUAUUUAAGAAAUAAGUUUAAUAUUUAUUCCAAUUUACCUUUUGAGGUAUAAAAAUUACUAAUCUAUUAAUGUUAACUUACUAUUUUAGAUGGGAAACUUACUUCCAUAUUUUUAGGUGUUAUCCUAUUUAGGUGGAUAGGUCCAAUAAGUAAUCAAAUGGUCGCCAAAAGUGCAACAACCUGUUAUAUUAGAUAAAAACUAUUUCGUUACCAUAACUAUCGUUACUAAAGCAUUGUCUUAUCAGCUCAAGUCAAGAUUAGCUUGUCUAUCUAGCCUACUCCAUUUUUAAUUUCAUGCUAGUCUUCGGACUCCCAUAAUCUAUCUUUCCAGUUCCUAUCACCCAUCUGUGAUUAUAUUUCCAAUUCAAUCUUUUUUCGAUCAUUUGUGGGUCCCAAUCAAAUAAUGCCUCACCAACUCCAUGGUCCAUACCCAUUAAAAAAGAAUAUCGUUAGCUAGCCUCUUGAGGUUGUUUAAUCACAAGAAAAGUAAAAAGGUUCUUUUGCAUCUUAUUGAGAUAAUUUUGUGUCCGUGACCCUAAACCCUAAGCCCUAAAAGAUCGUUAGCUAGCCUUUUGAGGUUGUUUAAUCACAAGAAAAGUAAAAAGGUUCUUUUGCAUCUUAUUGAGGUAAACUGGUGGAAUUACCUUAGAUUCUAUGUGCGUGUGUUUCUUUGCGCUGUUGAAAGAAAAAGGAAAAUAGGAGAGGAAUGUCAAUGUGAGUAUGGAUUCUUAGUCAAGGCUCUUAAGCUUCCUGCGUUCCCUUUCCCCCAACUCCUUGUUCCUACAUCGAUUAUGAGAGGUGUGUGUGUGUAGGAUUUAAGGUCCGUGAGUUUACCCAGAAGUCAGCAAUUGUAUUUUGGAUAAACUGGUGGAAUUACCUUAGAUUCUGUGUGCGUGUGUUUCUUUGCGCUGUUGAAAGAUAAUUUUGUGGAAAAAGUACUGUAACACUUUUUUGAUAUGAUGUAUGUGAGAUAAAAAGGUGAUUGAAAAAUAUAUUGAUGAUACAAACAAAUCAAUGUGUGUAAAUAAGGUAUAAAUAAAGUGUAAUUUUUUACAAUCCAAACACAUAUUGUAGAUAGUUAAAUACUUGAUUGUUUGCUGGCUCAACUUUUCCACCAAGACUUCCGGUCAUCACAUAGUUUCUUCCAACGCAAAAUGGUGAAAGUGAUGCUUUUAAACUUGUAUAAAUGAACCACUUCUCUGAGCAUACUUUAUCAUAUAGUUCAAUAUCAAAAGCAAUCCAAUGGAGCACUAUCUUCUUGGCACUUCUUUAUCUUUACUACUAGUAAUGUUCUUAUUCAGUUCUAUUCUCGUCACCAGCCAUUUUCCGUUUGGCUGCAGCAAACAAGCUUAUACUCAUUCAAAUGUCUCUUGUAUCGAGAGUGAACGACAAGCUUUUCUUCAAUUCAGAAAUGGGUUGAUAGAUGAAUCGAAUCAUCUGUCAUCUUGGAUAGGAGAAGACUGCUGUUCAUGGGAAGGUAUUGGUUGCCACAAAAACACUGGUCAUGUGGUGAAACUUGAUCUACAAAAUACGAAGCCGUUACACUCAAAUAAUGUAUUUACUUAUUGCAAAAAUUGCUUGGGAGGCCAAUUAAGUCCAUUUUUGGUCAAUUGGACCAAUUUGCAAUACCUGGACUUGAGCAAGAAUAAUUUUUCAGGAAUCCAAGUUCCCACAUUCCUUGGAUUGUUGAAAUACUUGAGAUACUUAAAUCUUGCAAAUGUAGUGUUUGACGGUGAAAUUGUAAUGGUACUAUUAGUUAUGAUCUGAAUAGGCUAAGAAGGUAGAAGGGUGUAGCAGAGAGAACGCAAGGAAGGGGGAAAAUUGUGAGAGAGAAGAGAGGAAAGGAUAGUGUGACAGGAAAGGAAGCUGAAUUUGUUAUAUCUCAUUACAUGCCUUUUCGUCCCCUUUAGGCUUUAUUUAUACAGAAUGCUCCCUCUAGAUCCUUCUGCAACUAGCCAAUCUCAUAACAGAAUGAGCAUACAUACAUGCAUGCCUUUGACAGCUAGCUGACUAACUAAAUAACGGAAAUGCUAACUAACUACCUGAAAAGGAAAGCAUGGCAGAUACAUUUCUGCUCAGAAAUAUCUAGCGAGAAUAUCUAGGGUCAUUACAACACCUCCCCCUUGAGAAUCCUAGUCACUAGGAUUUGAGCUGGAAAUCUGGAAACUGUGAUUGUAUUACCGUGACAUCCUCCCAAGUUGAGUCUUCAGUGCUUAGGUUCACCCAUUUGAUCAACACUUGAGUCACCUUCUGCCUUUUCCUUAUGAUUUCACGAGUAGCAAUCACCCUUUUAGGGGCAAUUUUAAUCUGUCCGUCCGUAGUCGUCAAGGGUAACUCCUGAGUCACAACAUGAUUCUUUGCAGAUGGUUUAAGCAGGGAGACAUGGAAGGUAGGAUGUAUCAAAGAACCAGCAGGUAAUUCCAGUCUGUAGGCCGCAUUCCCCACCUUCUGAAGGACCUUGUAAGGGCCAUAGUAUUUGGAAGAUAACUUCAGAUUUCUUCGGACUGCUACUGAAGUUUGUCUGUAAGGCUGCAAUUUCAAAUAAACCCAGUCUCCUACCUGAAAACUCCUUUCAAUUCUGUUUUUGUCAGCAAAUUGCUUCAUUCGAUUCUGAGCCUUGAUUAGAUUACCCCGCAGCAGUUCAUUCCAUUUCCUUCUAUCUCCUAGCCAUUGUUCCACAGCAGCUACAGGAGUCUCUAAGCCAUUGAGGCCUAAUUGCGAGGGUGGAUAACCAUACAGAGCCUGAAAAGGAGUCAUCUUUAAGGCUGUGUGAUGGUUGGUGUUGUACCACCAUUCAGUAGCUGUUAGUAAGGACUUCCAUUUGUGAGGCUGUUGGAAACAUAAACACCUCAAGUAUGUCUCUACACAUCUGUUCAGCCUUUCUGUCUGCCCGUCUGUCUGGGGGUGGUAGGCAGUGGAGUAAUGCAACUCAGUACUUAGCUUCCCAAACAACUCCUGCCAGAACAUGCUAGUGAACAGCCUGUCUCUGUCUAAUACAAUGCUCAGAGGUAAUCCGUGCAGUUUGUAGAUGUUAUCAAAGUAUAUGUUAGCUAUUGACUGUGCUGUAUACUUAGAGGGUAGUGCUAUUAGAUGACAAUACUUGGUGAACCUGUCGAUGACCACCAGUAUCCCUUCAUAUCCGUGAGAUUUGGGUAAUCCUUCUAUGAAGUCCAUUGAAAUAUGUUGCCAUGCUUGCUCAGGGAUAGGGAGGGGUUGCAGUAGACCUGGUGCCUUACAGUUUUCCACUUUGCUCCUUUUACAGAUAUCACAUUGCUGCACCCAUUCUUCUACCUUCCUUCUCAUUCCAGGCCAGAAGACUGGUCCCUUCAAUCUCUGAUAGGUUCCCAGAUAUCCUGAAUGACCCCCAAGGUGCGAGUCAUGGAAGCAGGCUAUCAACUUCUGUCUCAAGUUCCCCGAAGCUCCAAUGUAUACCCUGCCCUUAUACCUGAGCAAUCCCCCAACAAAAGAGUAAUUUGGGAGAGAAUCUGGUGUAAUAGUCAGGGUUUCCAUUAAUUUAGUCACUGCAUUAUCCCAUUGGUAGCUUUCCACAACUUCAGAUAGCCAUGCAGGUUUCAUGACUGAGAGACUGUGUGUAGAACUGUCCUCUUCAUAGUCUCUUCUGGACAGUGCAUCGGCCACAAGAUUUUCUUUUCCUUUCUUGUACUGUAUUUCAUAAUCCAAUCCUAACAAUUUAGUAAGCCACUUCUGCUGAAGGGGGGUAGUUAUCUUCUGCUCCAAUAGGUAUUUUAAGCUCUGGUGAUCUGUCUUGAUAAUGAAAUGAUUCCCUAACAAAUAAUGCCUCCACUUCGAUACAGCUGUGAUAAGGGAUAACAACUCUUUCUCAUAUAUUGAUAACCCCAAGUUCUUAGGCCCCAAGGCUUGACUGAGAUAAGCAAUAGGCCUUCCUUGCUGCAUGAGUACAGCUCCUAUAGCCUUAUGACUGGCAUCUGUUUCCAGAACAAAUGGUAAGGAAAAAUUAGGAAGUGCGAGGACAGGUGUGCUACGCAUCAGUUGUUUGAGUUUUUGGAAGGCUAGCUCAGUAUGUUCACUCCAGUGGAAAUUUUCUUUCUUCAGCAACUCCGUAAGUGGCUUGGCAAUGAUUCCAUAACCUCUCACGAACCUCCUGUAAUAGCCCGUAAGUCCCAAAAAUCCUCUCAAAGCCUUCACUGAUGUAGGUGCAGGCCAGUCCAUCAUGCUUUUGACUUUUGAGAGGUCUGCCUGUACUCCAUUACCACUGAUAAUGUGUCCCAAAUACUCCACUUGAGACUGUCCAAAGAUGCAUUUGGAAAGCUUGGCAAAUAGGGAGCAAGAUCUGAGUGUUUCUAGGACAGUUUUGAGGUGUGAAAGGUGAGUGUUUAGGUCCGAACUAUACACAAGGAUGUCAUCAAAAAAUACUAGCACAAAUUUUCUCAAGUAAGGUUCGAAUACACGGUUCAUCAGGCUUUGAAAGGUUGCUGGUGCGUUAGUAAGGCCAAAUGGCAUGACUGUGAAUUCAUAAAGUCCAAGGUGAGUUUUGAAGGCUGUUUUUGGAAUGUCAUUUAGGUACAUUUUGAUUUGAUGGUAACCAGCUCUUAGGUCGAUCUUAGUGAAGAGCUUAGCACCAUAUAGCUCAUCGAGUAAAUCAUCAAUGAUUGGUAUUGGAAAUUUAUCUUUGAUAAUCAGGUCAUUUAGUUGUCUGUAAUCAACACAGAAUCGCCAAGUUCCAUCUUGCUUUUUAACUAACAGAACUGGAGAUGCAAACGGACUAUGGCUGAGCUAAAUAAUGCCACUACUAAGCAUGUCUUUUACCUGUUUCUCUAUUUCAUUUUUCUGGUUGUGAGGAUACCUAUAAGGUGCUAACUUGAAUGGUUUGGCAUUUGGUACUAAAGGAAUUUGGUGGUCACAGUUUCUAGAAGGGGGAAGGGAUUUUGGCUCCCCAAAUACAUCCUUGUAGUCCGCAAUUAGAGCAUCUAGGGACUGUUGAAAAGUAAUAUCCAACUGAGUUACAGAGUGUACCUGAGUUCCACUCAUCCUCAGCCCGCAGGCCUGCUUCCAAAUUCUGGUGCUUAGUCCCUCCUUCUCAGCAUUGUCUCUAGGAAACUUAAGGACGGCCUCCUUAGACUCUCCUUGUAGCAAGAUCCUUUCCCCUUCCUUAUCAAAUGUCAUGUUCAACUGCCUGAAGUCAAAGGUGAUGGGGCUGUGUGCAGCCAUCCAAUCCACACCUAUGAUCAUAUCAUAAGGUUCUAAGUUAAUGAUAAACAUGUCAUGAGUGAAUGGUUUACCUUGCAUUUCCCAGUUCAUGUUUGGAAUCAUCCUACUACAGGUCAAAUACUCCCCAUUAGCCACCUUGACCUUGAAGGGCUUGAUAGACUUAACCAUCCCUGGAAAGAGUUGAGCCACAGUAUUUUUGACAAAGCUGUGAAUACUUCCCCCAUCCACCAAGAUUGACAGGGGGUUCCUUUGAACAGCCCCUGCAAUUUGAUGGUAUUGUAAGUCAUCUUCCCCGUCAGUGCAUGUAUUGCCAUUUCCACUCCUUUGGCUGACUGUGCCCCUUGGUACUCAAUUACCUCCCCUUCCUCCAGAUCCUCAGGCCUAUUUUCUACUGCGACAAGCAGAUGAAUCUCCUUCUGCCUACACUGGUGACCUGGACCAAACUUUUCUCCACACUUGUAGCAAAGAUGAUGUUCCCUUCUGUACUGCAGUUCUUCUGGUGUGAUUUUUUUGAAAUGUUGAGGUGUUUUUUUUGACAGCAUUGGCAAUGACAGGUUUGGUAGGUGCCACAGUUUGCUGAGCAGCAGCCUGUGUGGAGUUUCCCCAAGCCAUGGCCCUCUGAUGAGGUUUGUGCUUCCUGUGGUAGGCUUCAAAGGCAUUCUCCUGUAGUCUGGCUAACUCAAAGGCUUUGGAUAAUGUUCGAGGGUCGUGAGCUUUCACCAUGGAUCUCAAUUCAUCUGGCAGCCCACUCAAAAAAUAGGAAAUAUAGUAGUUUUCUGGAAGGUGUGGGGCUCGAAUCGUUACCUCUGAUAACAGCUCCUCAAAAUUUUCUUGAUAUGCUAGCACCGUGGAAGAGAGUUGCAACUUGUUGAAUUCCUCCACUGGAUCCAUCUGUCCUAAGGUUCCAAACCUCUUACACAGCUCUCCAGAAAACUCCAUCCAAUCUUUGUGUUACCCCUAGUAGACCUGAAUCCUUGAUACCACACUGCCGCUUUCUCCUCCAAGUGGAACUCUGCCAACUCCAUCCAUUGCUCCUUGGGAAUGUGCAGAAGCUGGCAAUAUUUCUGCAGUUUCCUGAUCCACUCCCUAGGAUUGUCUCCCCUAAAUGCUGGAAUUUCCAAUUUAGGCGUGCUAGCGAAGAAGGCACUCCUAGCAUUCCUUUCUCCUUGUUCUCUACUCCCCAGGUCUGAACUUCUAGAGUGACUUCCUUCUGGAGAUCCUAAUAUGCCUUUCUCUUGAUUUCCACGGUUCAAGUUGGAGAGCUGCUGCGAGAUGGCUGACAUGAAUGCAUCUAGCUUAUUGCCCAGCUCAACACUCACUGCAUCCAACCUAUCCUCCAUGCUCUGCUUGUCUGCUGCCAAGGAUUCCAGAAUUCCUUGAAUCUUGCUUUCUUGCCUGCGGAGCUGUUCCUCCAUCGUCUUCAUCCUUGUUCCAUCCGCCAUUGUGAUAUGUCGAUCUAAGCUUCCUAGUCCAAGGACCGGAAGCUCUGAUACCACUUGUAAUGGUACUAUUAGUUAUGAUCUGAAUAGGCUAAGAAGGUAGAAGGGUGUAGCAGAGAGAACGCAGGGAAGGGGAAAAAUUGUGAGAGAGAAGAGAGGAAAGGAUAGUGUGACAGGAAAGGAAGCUGAAUUUGUUAUAUCUCAUUACAUGCCUUUUCAUCCCCUUUAGGCUUUAUUUAUACAGAAUGCUCCCUCUAGAUCCUUCUGCAACUAGCCAAUCUCAUAACAGAAUGAGCAUGCAUACAUGCAUGCCUUUGACAGCUAGCUGACUAACUAAAUAACGGAAAUGCUAACUAACUACCUGAAAAGGAAAGCAUGGCAGAUACAUUUCUGCUCAGAAAUAUCUAGCGAGAAUAUCUAGGGUCAUUACAGAAAUUCCCCACCAUCUAGGAAAUCUCUCAUGUUUACGGCAUUUAGAACUUGGAGAUGUAACUCCCUCCUUAACAUGGAAUCGAUUGACAACGAAGGAUCUCGGCUGGAUUGUUGGGCUUUCUUCUUUAGAAGGCCUAAUCCUGUCUGAGGUGAAUCUCAGUGCCGCUAAAGAUGGUUUACAGACAAUUAACAUGCUUCCGUCACUAACAAGCUUCGAAUUGUCUGGUUGUGGACUUUUCAUCAAUCCUCAUCUUUCACAGGUCAAUUUCACAUCUCUUUCUUCCCAUGAACUCGGUGAAAGUAAUUUCAACAACUACACGGUCCCUCCUUGGCUCCAUAAUCUUACUGGUCUCCAUAAUCUUGGUCUUAGCUCUAAUCAUCUUUCCGGUCCAAUUCAUGGCCUAUUCGAACAAAUGACCUCUCUAGUUUAUCUCGAUCUAGGGGAAAACCGCUUUGAUGCAUCAACGUUGAUGUCACUUUGCAAUGUGAGCACUCUUAAUUAUUUGGAUCUGAGUUUUAAUGAUAUGCAAGGGUCGAUACCGAGUGAAAUAAGCCAACUUUCGAAGCUGCAAGUAUUGGAUAUUUCUUCCAACUCAUUAACUGGUGUAUUAUCUGAAGACCAUUUUGCAAAACUCGGAGAGCUAAAGUCGUUGAACCUAUCUGAAAACUUAUUCACUCUGAAUGUGAGCUCCUGGUGGGUUCCUCCUUUUCAACUCCGAGAAAUUAUGAUGUCACCCAUCAAAGUAGGCCCCCUAUUUCCAGUUUGGCUUCAAACGCAAAAGGAGGUUCAAAGUUUAGAGAUGCAGAAUGCAGGCAUUUCGGAUAGCAUACCCAGCUGGUUUGGAGUGCUUUGUUAUGAAAUUUAUAUUGUAGAUUUCUCCAACAACAACCUGACUUGGAAUCCGUUGGAGUUCAAACAAAUGAAGAAGAGUCCUCCUGAUGGUAAUUCUCCAAGCAUAGUUCUAAAGUCCAACAAAUUGGAUGGAUCUCUCAAAUCGUUUCCGUCUUAUAUUUAUGAAUUAGAUCUUUCACAAAAUUUUCUUACCGGACAUAUUCCAUUGCCUGAUGUUGGUCAAACUGUUGCAUCUACUCGUUUUCUCAUACUCUGUGAUAAUCAUUUCACAAGCAGUAUCCCGGAAGACUUGUGCAAAUUGGAAAAUUUAAAAUAUCUGGAUCUAUCCAACAAUUUUCUGUUCGGAAGAGUUCCUCUGUGUUUGGGAAAUUGGCUAGACCUGCGGGUCCUAAACUUGGCAAAUAAUAGUCUAUGCGGUCAAAUUCCGAGUUCACUAGGCAACUUGGGGUAACUUUGGAUUCUGCAUUUGAAUUGAAAUAAAUUCGUUGGGAAGCUCUUAUCCUCAAUGCAGCGCCUGAGAAAUUUACAAAUUCUUGAUCUCGGUGACAAUGGACUUACAGAUAUUAUACCAACAUGGAUUGGGGAAAGGUUAUCAAAUUUAAAGUUUCUAAGAUUUCAGUCAAAUAACUUCCAUGGAAUCAUUUCUGAUGAGCUCUGCCUAGUCUCACGUCUUCGUGCUGAACCUAGCGCAUAAUAAUUUAACAAGAUCUAUUCCUCAUUGUUUUAUCAACUUCUCAAUGAUGGUAUCAAGUGAACCAGGAACUGACCUAUCAAUGCAUGAACUCUUCGGUGCAAUCCCUAAAAGCUUAUCUGCUUUAAACUGGUUGAACUUCCUGAAUUUGUCACACAAUAAGCUAUCAGGGCCAAUACCAUCAGGGAAUCAAAUUUAGACCUUAACCGAUCCAUCUAUCUAUGAAGGAAACAUUGGACUCUGUGGCAAGCCACUCCCAAAUGACUGCCUGGAACAUAAAUUGCCUACGGAAAAUGGGCAUAUUCAUGAUGAUAUAGGCCACGCGAGUCUAAUUGGUCUUGGUUUUAUGCUGUCGGGCUAUUGGGAGUUUUGGGAAUCCUUCCGUUCAAGAAGUCAUGGCGCUAUGCAUACUUCAGGUUUCUGGAAAAUGCCUAUGACAAAAUUUACGUAAUGAUUGCAUUGAAGGCUAAUCAGCUGAGGAGGAAUUUCCAUUGAGUAAUACCCUGUAAAAGCACAUUUAUUCCGUUUUUCAUAUCACACAGUAGCAUACUCUCCUUGAGAAUUUGCAAAACUAUAGUAAUUUGUAGUAAAGAUUUGUUUUAUGCGUCCCAACUUGACCGAUUCUUAUUCAAUAAGAAAAUGAUAGCUUACUAGUUUUCUUUCUUUUUUUUUUUCAAGACAAAGAAGCUCAAUAAGUUAUAUCAACAAAAGAAUAACGCACCAAAAGCAGUAGAUGAUUCUAGCAUCAAAUCAGUAUCUUGCAAAGGAAAUUUUCCCAAUAAACUAUUACGUGAUUGAAGACCAGAAAUUUCCAUUCCUUAACUUUUGGAACUUUUUAUCUUAAAAACUAGGUACCAAAACCUUAGUUGCUUUCUCUAGAUUCUCUCUUUCUAUUGGCAAUUAUUUUUAGUCUCUCAAAAAUUUGAUUUCUAAUAAUUCUGCUCUAUUCUUCAUAUUUACAUUGCAUUUUCCUAUGUUUCUUUACAUUCCAUACUAUGAGAAUCUUAUUGAUUUUUAUUUACAACCGAUUAAAUAAUUAUUUUUCUGUUCGCAUUAGAAUGCAUUAAAUAUUCUAUAUCGAGCAAUUUAUAGGUUGUUUAUCUUGCUUACUGAUCUAAUUUUUGCGUCAACAGAUUUAAACGCUUUAGAAGAAUUCUAUACUUGUUUAUGCUAAUAAUUGAUUUAGUUGUUUAAUUUCUAAUUGAUAUGCAUUUGAUAGGUUGCGAUUUUAUCAUUUAUUUUAUUAUUAAUUUCCCUUAUUGCCUGAUCCGAUGUGGAUUAAUUACUGGAUUUAUUCACUUUUAGUAUUUUGCAUUUAUUUCAGGGAGUAGAAUGAAAAUAUGACAACAGGUGCUAAUUUGGCAGAAAAGGAAUCCAAAUGAUAGAGUUUAUCCUAGGGGUAUUUUUGAAAUAAAAAGAGACGCAAGACCUUUUUGAUAAUUUGGUCGAAGACAGCAGGAAAGAAAAGGGAGGAGCUGGAGUCUUCGGUUUGAAGACUGGGCCGCCGCACAGUAGCAGAGGCUACUUAGAUAGGAAUUAGAAUUAGAAUUGAAUUAGCACUACUGUGGAUAGAUAGCUUUUCUUUCGAGGAGCUAUGCCCCAUGCAUGUCAGGAGCAAAAUUGGGGAAAACUUUGACUUUUCUUCCUUUGAGCUUUUAGUAGUUGUUUUUCCUCCUUCGUACGGCAGACGAAGGGAAAACUACCAAUCACCUUUUGCAGCCUGCUAUCUUUUCAAUAUUCGGACGAAUUGAAUUUUUCCAAUCUCAAAGGACGAUGGCUGCUGCUUUCUCUUCAGUUUUGUAUGGUUUUUUCGCACCAAAUAUGAACUAAUUUCUUCACUUUAAUCAAGGAACAACGGAGGCUUUGGUUCGUCUAAAACUUGUGAGAUCGAUUUAAUUUUAUCUUUUUCUUUUAUUUAUUGGUAUUCGCAUAUCUCUUGAUUGCAUUGUUCAUGAUUAUUUAAUUAAUUGAUUGUCUUGAAUCCGGAUAAUCAGUUAACUUAAUAAUUUAUUGUCAAUUAGGGCAUUAAAUCCGUAAUUGUUUAAGUGCCUUGAAAUAGUGACAACUGGCACGAUUAGAUUCGUGUCAAAGGGAUACGCAAGCUAAUCUGAAAUAACCCCGGUAGUGCAUUAUUUGGUUAGAAUAUGGCUCCUCUAAUACGUAAGACAAUUAGAGAAUUGAAUCUUAUGGGCAUACCUAAGAUUAUUUCUCAAUUAGAGCAGUGAUUAAUGGGCGUACCUUAAUCACCGAUACAGUAAGGAGGGGUUGACUGGCAUCACUUGUUUGGUAGUUAUAACCUAUUUAUUAAUAAAUAAUUGGAAUUGCUUGUGCAUCGAUGAUCAAUUAGGUGAACCAUUGCUGAAGUUAUUUCUUGGCUAGACCUUUAAUUAUUGUUAAUAUAAUUUUAGUGAAUUGUCAUUUAAUUUCUAGCUAGCUAUUUAUUUUUAUUCUUAUUUGAAUUUCUUUGAUUGUCAUCGUUUAUACAAAAACACCCCCUGUGUUACUUUGGAUUUCUUAAGAGACAAAUAUCCCCAAUCCCUGAGGAUACGACCCUACUUGCCCUGUCUACAAAUUCAUAAUUAUUUGUGAAAAAAGCCAUCCCAUUCGAGUAUAUCGGAUCAACCAAACUCUUUGGGAACAGGGUGAAUCAAGUAACCCAUUGCACACCUAGAGUCCUUGCUCCAGUACUUGGAAUCAGAUUUUGGUUACUUUAACUGGCAAUUAGGUUUAAUUUUAUUAUUGUACAGGCUUCGACACCUGUCAACAUUCUAGCUUUUCUGCCAACAACUCUUAUGAAUUACCAACUAAUGAUUUUCAGGUAUUACAUUAAUUCUACCCACCUAAGUUUCACUCUCGAAACUUAAUUUGACCAAAUUAGCAUAAAAACAAACUGCCCUUCCAAUUAUAUCACUUUACAUGAACAAGUAUUAAUUAAACUACUAGUAUUUAAGGCACACACCAAUGUGUGUACACCUAAAACAAAGCAUAUUAUUAAAAUUUUGAGUAAAUUUGUUGAAAUCAUUUUCAAAGGAAUUAGUUUUAUAUUUUUGACAAUGGGUAUUGGAAAAUUCACGAAAAUAAGUGUACAAAUAGAUUGUUAUUUAGCAGUAAUCCAUAACCAUAAUCGAUAGUUGAUUACAUUGGGUAGCUAGCAAGGUAAGUUUAAAAAUAAUAUAAAAUGACAAAAUUUUAUGUAUACCAAAAGCCCUCUCCCCAUUUAUAUAUUUACAACAAAAGCUUACUCCACCUUUACAUAGAGCAUAGAUAUUAUUUAUUCAAGGACAAUUCAUGUCCCUCCUCUCCUUCCCCUCCUCGUUUUUUUGGUCAAUCGUCAACUCCUAUUACUACUCCUACUCUAACCAAUAUUAGGGAAUGAUCCAACUGGACCAAUGGGGCUGGAGAAAGAAGAUCUCACCUGUAUAUCAAAGAGGUUCACUAGACCAAAGAAGGGUUGGUUCAUGUUCAAAUCCGCUAUUCUUUUUACAAGGCCAUAGAAAUUUCAAACACCUGAUGCCCAUUACGUUUCCCUUGCGUCAACAUAAAUCCAAACAUCAAGAAGAAUUCCACUUAAUUAACCUUAUUUUCAUUUGAACUUUAGUUAUUUCUAAAGUGAUAAUCAUGUCUUACUAUUCAUUAAAGUAACCUACUAUCAAUAAAAACUCCACUAGUAAAUUCCGUGCUCUCAUUUUCUGAUUUGCCAGAUUCUUAGUUGCACCCCCAAUUUACUUCAUACUACAUGCCAUCACAGUGGAUCUAGAAAUAUUAUAGCAUAACCACCUAGAAAUAUCUUCAAGAUAUAAUCCUUUUCAAUAACAUCACCCACUCAUGAUUUUCAAUCUAGAAUUACCUGUAGUUUUAAGAUUCAAAUCAAGUGAUCAUAAAGCCAUGUGAGAAAAACUAAUGAACAUAAAUUAAAUUUCUAACUCAUCGAUUGCCAAUGGUCCUAUUAGAAACUAGUUCUUGCAAUCAAUAAUUGGUAGACAUGCAAUAAAAAUGUGUCCUAGGCCUCCUGAUCUUCUAAACAAACAUGUAAGAGCAGAAGGGUUUCAUGAACAUCCUCCCAAUGAGGAAUGUUAUAUGAACGGAUCCCAAUCACAAAUUAAAGAUUCGUGAAAAAAGAGAGAAACUCUAAAAAAUUGGGUAAUUCCAAUAAAGUUUGAUAAAAGUUGUUAAGAGAAUGAGAUAUUACUUAGGCCCUAUUUGGCAAAUAACUCCCAAUAAAUAUCUGGGUAAAACUUAGGCCUCGUUUGGCGAAUGAGUUUUUUGAGUGUUUAUCUAAAAUUUUACUGCAACUUACUGUAAAAAUUGUAGGAAAAAAUUUUAAAAUGAAAAUUUUUUUUCUUUUCUUUUUAUUUCUUUUUCUUUCUUUCUUUCUUUGUUCUUUUCUUUCCUUUCUUCUUCAUCUCCCUUCCCCGUCCCCUGCCACCUCUCGCUUCCAGUUGGAACAAGAAUUUUUUUUGCUCUUUUCUCUCACCCUCUCUUCUCUCUCCCCUCCCCUCUCGCCCCUUUUCCGGGUGCUUUCUAGUCGUGUGACCAGAUCGGGCAAAGGGGUAAGGGAAGGGUGGUGAGGGAGGGAGAAGGGGGGAGAGAAAUGGCGGGGAAGAGAGGAGGAGAGAGGGAGAGGAGAGAGAGAGAAAAAAAAAGAUCGGCCGACUCCGAGGUGGUGGUGGGUUGAGAUGGAAGGAGAAAGGAGGAAGAAAAUUUCUUUUGUGUGUUUUGGAUAUUUUGAAAUAUAUAGUUAAAGUUGUUAAAAAUUUGAUAGGAAACAAACUUAGCCAAAAAUUCGUUUGCCAAAUAGGCCAUUAGUUCUAGGAAUGCUUUGAAAAUCCUUGUUAGAGGGAUAGUGAAAUUCUUGUUAUCCAUUAAUAUCUGAGGUCAUGUUAUUCAAUAAUGGUAAUUGUGAAAAAAUUUUCUCUUUUUUGAUUGAUUUUUAUUCAUAAAUUCAAGCUAUUAUUCAAAUUAUAGUAAUUUAUUGAUGAAUUUGGAUUAUUUAUUGUUGAAUUUGGCUAGGUAUAAAGUUAAUUGAAGAUGCAUAAAAGUUUCAUAAAUAAGGCAGCCUGUUUCGACAUUGCUUUCAAUGAUGUGUGGAUUAUGUUUGUGAACUUUAAUGACACAAAGGGGCAAGCUACUCCUACUACUGCUACUUAUUUUGCAUUUGGGGAUGAGUCCCGCAUCUCGUGCUGGAGUUGAUACCGGUGUAGUAAAAUGGUAAUCCAAUAUGCAAUUAACGAAUUUUGUUCUAAAAGCUAUAUAUAACGGAAAUGUGUGAGAACCUGAGAAAAUUAUGUGUAUGCCCUAAAUUUAUUUCAUUUUAUUUACUUUGAUAUUAGAAAUAUUAUAUAUAACGAAUAAAUGGUUAAAUUAAAUGCCUAAUUGAAUCCUUAUGAAAUUGAGAAUUUAGAAAAUAUCCUAGAAUAGUGUAGAAAAAUUUUAUGAAUUAAAUAAAUAUAUGGCAUUCAUAUCGUAAUUUAUGUCAUUUGCAAAUAUUACUAGACACGAAACAUAUACUAUAUAGUUCAAUAGGUACAUGUCUAAUAAAUCCUUUUUAAAGCUAAAUGUGUGAAAAUCUACUAGAUCAACGUAAGAAAAUUUUUCACGAAAAUAAAAAUUAAGUUAAGAGUGAAUGUAUGAAAUAAUAAACUAAAGGACCAAUUUAACCAUUAAUGGAUGGACAAUUAACCAUGCAACCAAAAGAGGAAUUGAGCUUCUGGACAACCGAGGAACUUAGGCAAUCAAAUGCUUAAUUACUAGAGCGGUGAUUGAGAGAACACUAAGAAGAAAACAGCUCAAGUAGUAAGUAGCACCGACUGGGAAACAUUGACCACCGAGUGGACUGUUCCUUCUGAUUCUAGAGUCUUAUAAGCUGCUAAGUCCAAGCGGUGGCUGAAGGAAAAACCAAGAGAAAUCCACAGCCAAUAAUUUGCUAAGUCAAGCGGUAGAAGUGAGGAAACAAAUAGAAAGUGGCUUGCUAAGUUGGGCGGUGGCCGAGUGGAGAAGCGAGGCUUCAAUUCUUUUCUUACCAACCAAACACCAAGAGCAAAACUGAGAGACUAAGCCAUUUCUUUUCAUCUCAAGGCACAACCGAGAGAGAGGAAAAUAUUUCUGGUUCCUCCUUGUUCCAGUUUUCAACCGAGAGAGUGAGGGAGAGAGUUAGACAUUUGCUAGCUUUAUUUCUCCAGCUUGGAACCUCAAAACUCUGAGCCAAAGUGAGUGAGAGGGAGAAAAAUCCUGGUGGUAUACUUCACCUAACGGCCUCAACCGAAUGAGAGUGAAGUAGAUUGAAGAAAGAGUGAGAGUUGGUGCAAUUUUGAGGAACCGAAGCUCAACUUGGAGCCGUCUGCACUUGCUGAAUUCUAGAGGAAAGGAGUUCUUGUCCUUAGUUUAGCUACCCGAGAGACAUUAGGAGGAAAAGGAGAGAAGGACCAAAAGAAAGAAACAACAACAACAACUAGGAACUCAUUUCUGGCCACCUUCAACCGUGAGAACCAGCCACAAAGAAAGCAGGAAUGCAGUCUAUUGAGCUAAGAAUGGGAGAGAAAAACCAGAAUUUUAUUUUCCUAACUUAGAACCAUAAGAACCAGAGGUAAACUACUAUCUUUCUCUUCCAUUUCUUCUACGUUUAGCUAGUAGUCUUUUAGAAUGAAUUGAAACCAAGUAAAAGAAAAUUUUCUAGAAAACAAAGGUUGUCAAAGCUGGAAAUGUUCGUUUGAAGCUGCAUGUUCUCACUCUAAUGUUUAUAUGAUUGCAAGUUAGAUUUGAGUGUAAAAUGAAGAGAUUAUUAGAGGAAAUUUCAUACUUUUAAACUGCUAGCUGCUGAAACUCCUUCAUCUUGGCCGAGAGAACAAAAGAGAGUAUUCUCCAACUUUUCUCUUCAAACCUUGGCUAUAAAUUCUAUAUUGUGAUUCAAAACACCUCAUAGAAUAAUAAUUAUCACCUGGAUAUUAAGUUUGAAUGAGGAAAAUAAAGAAUUUUAUGGAGAAAACUUGUUUUCCAAACUACCUACUUGCUGGAAUUUUUCAACCUCAGCCGAGAGAGAUGGAAGGGAUAUUUUCUGAUAUUUCUCUAUAGAUUUUGGGCUGUAAACUUUCAUAUUAAGGUUGAUUACACCUUAUAAUAUCAUUAGAUGGUCAUGUAUGUGAAUUUUGGGGUGAAAAUGUGAUUUUUUAUGGCUGGAUUGUUGUUUGAAAGACUGUUAGGCUAAUAAACCAUUUACAGUUUAGUCAACGGAAUUUCUUGGCUUUGAAUGGAUAUUUUAGUAUAAAAUUUGCUGGAAAUGCUUGAUUUGUACUUGUUGCUGUGUUAUGAGUUUGUUGGUGAGUGAUUGGUGGAUGGAAAUAAAAUCUAAAUAGUUAAAAUGGAAGGGAAAGUUUGCUAUACCACCUACAGGAAUCAAAGGAGCCUUGUAACUUAUAUAAGAAGAUAUCCAUUUAUUACUUGGUUUAAUAGGCUCUAUAUAAAUUGUAUACACAUCUUAAGGUAAUAAACUAGUUAUGCAUGUGGUCUUGGUUAAUAACAGAAGGAAUUAUGUGACAAGAAAGUACUUUAAGGUUAGCUACUUCUAAACUUACCUUGUUAAACGUUAAUGUUGAGUUUUAGUACGAUAAAUCUAACAGUAUAAAAGUAGUGAAGUGACAUUACUGGAAUUGCUACUUAAACUUCCUUUCUUUUGGAAAUUAAAAGUUGAAGUAACAAGCGAGUGUGAGAAAAUGCACUAGUCAUCUCAUUUAAACAUAGCAAUGACUUAGAUUUCGGGUGGAAUGGUGACUUAAGGCUAGAAUACAACACGUAUGUUGAUUAUACUUUAGAAUUUCACCAAAUGAGUAGUUAAAUAAUUAUGGCAAUUAUAACUUGUCUCAGGAGACAGCGGUGCGCAAGAAAGCAAUUCUAAGAUCGAAGUGUAACUUUUGAUUAGGGUGAGUGUUUAAGAAUUUAUAUAUUUAACUGUUUAUGUUUAUUUAAGUGAAAUUAUGUGAUAAAUGUGCUUAUUAUGUAUAUUGCCAGUGAUUUAUUGUAAAGUGUAUCUCAAUUGUCCCUCGCCUUCUAAGUCGAGGGUGUACUUUAUCGCACUCGACUUAGUUGAACUUGAAGGUUGAUUAUUGACUAAAUGUUACUGUAAGUAUGUAUGAAUGUAAGCCGUAUGUGUACUUUAUCGCAUCGGCUGAACUGAGCCUCAAAACCCUCUGUUCAACAGAUUAUUCGAGCCAGCAAAGGGCUUGUUGGAUAGGACGGAAGCUUUGGGUAACUGUUUGGUAUACUCGGGUAUUACCCUGAAGUUGGGAGAUUAUUGAACUGAUUGCUGAAUGUAGGGGAUUGAUUAUUGUUUUGGAGGACAUAAGGAGGUGGAUUGGCGGAGUGUGCAAUAAUAUUGAAAUGAAUGUACAAUGACACUGAAAUGAGUGUGCAAUGAUAUUGAAAUGACACUGAAUUACUGAACGGAACUAAGUGCUACGUCUGGAACGAACGGGAACCACCUCUAGAGUCCGUAUCAAUACCGUAUCCUUUGAGGUGAUUGAUUACUUUUAUUAAAUUUGAUAUCCUGAAUUGUUAAGUUUGGUGAAUGUUUUAUACUGCUAAUUGGUUGUUGUAUCCUUUUGAAAGUGACAAUACAGUGAAAUGUGCAUUACUUGCUUAAUUUUACUAGUUAAGUGUUUAUUGAAUGUUACUUGUUCGGCAAACCUCACUAAGUUUUAGCUCAACCUUUUAGUUUUGUUUUCCUUACAAGAAUUGGUGGUCAGGGAAUGAACAAGGGAUCUUAAGGAGUUAACGUGAAGAAUUUUGUGAAUGUAAAUCCUUUAACAUCAAAUUAUGGUUGAGGCUAUUAUAUUGAACUUGGUAUUGUAAAAGAUUUGAGUAUUUGGUUUUGGUUUAUCGAAAUGUUAUCUCUGAAAUUAAUGUAAGUGAGUGAGUCCUGGCGAGAGUCAGGCAGAUGGUCCGCUAACUUCUAGGGUAUGCUCUAGGAGAAGGUGUGACGACCCCACCUCCCCUAAGGCGUACCAAAGGGUUCGGCGGACCGCCUGCCCAACUCUCGCCAGGACUCACUCACUCGUGUCUUACGCAUACAUCCAUAGACAAGAAAUAACAUUGCAAUUCAAACUUGUAAUAUACAUCGAUGCACAAACCCAGAUACAAGACAUCUAUACAUCCAAAAUACUUAAAAGUGUAUACAAUACAAGUACAACGCAUUCUAAGCGAAUGAUAGCGUGAGUACAACUCGAAAGUCAAAACAAUUAGUCUAAACUAGUCUGUACACGUCUCACGCCUCGCUCGUACCCCUGUAAGGAAAACAAAACUAAAGGAGGUUCCAAAUAUCAAAUUGUCCAGCAAAUAAAGUAACAGUGGCAUAAUGGUGAAAUAGCGAGCAAAACAAGUCAAGAAAUGAGUAAUAACACUUCAUAUAGCUAGACACGUAAUUUUUCCGCAUUUCACAUAUAAGAAUACAGUUGCUCAUAUAUCGACUCCACCAUAGCUUGAUCAAUUGGUAGUUGGCACUCCGUCAACUUUCAAGUGAGAAACUAGUCCAGUAGGUCACCACUUCACUCCAAUCUCCGUCCACCGAUCAAACCUCUUACUGGGCUCGAACUCCACAAUAAACACUGGUGGUAAUACUCGAGUAUACCGAUUAGUCGAGGAGAUAACACUCCACUCGACAACACUAGAUACCCAUGGUUCGUUAUCUAAUCGACCAAACCCUUGCCGGCUCGACUCGAUUAACUAGCCAAUGGGGUUUGGAUCCCCAAAAAAUCGAUGAGAUAACACUCCAAUCGAUUGAAUCAAGAUAAAAGUAUGGAGACGGGAAUGAGAGGUACCUCCCACUCGGAUCGAGUGUGGUACAUACUGCCGCUCAGUACUUACAAGUCACACACAAAUAUCUCAAAUCAAUUGCAACAAUAAACAAGUACAUAUCACGUUAGGGCAAGUGCGAUAAAGUACACCCUUGCCCGAUCAUACCAAUCACAUAUCAUUCGAUCACAUUGGUCAAGUAUUAAAAACAAGUAUCCAGUUCAAUCAGGUAUUUGGAAGUACUCACCAAAGAUGUAGUGCCUUUACGGAUCACGGUCAGGUAUUACUCCUUGUGUGGAGUUCAACUCUGCGAUAAAAUGUCAUUUAAGAACUUGAAAUCAAUUAGGGUUCAAGUUUUUUUUAAAGAAAAUCAAGUAAUUGAAACUCAUUUGGGGAAUAUUCGUAAAACUCAUGCUCGCUCUUAAAACUUUGAAAAUUUGAAGCGAUUAAACUUUGAAAUUCCCAUUUGAGUCGAAGAGAGGAGAAAAACGUAUUUCUAUUAGUCGUUACUUUUAUUUUUUCAAGGUUACAAGGUUCGGUCGAAUUCUAACUUAUAUACCACUAUGAGCGAAGACUUGAAUACCCUAGAUGAUUCGAGUUCAAUUCGACCUCAAAUCUUCGCUCAAACUGCGAGUAUACACGUCUCACUUUCGAGUGAAAAUUUGGGCAGCAUACCCCUUUGUAUUUAGCUAUUUUCCAGUCAUUUAUGGCUUCAUUAUUGUUCUCAAUUCAGCCCUAAAAUCACACGCAAAUAAUCUUACCACAAUAGCCUUUCACUAGGCUCAAUGUCAUCCACACACAAGACAAUUUUAGCAUGUAAGCUUCACUUGGAAAUUCGGAAAUGGUGGCCAAAAGCUAAGUACAAGUCUUGACCGCUUUAAUUAAGGUAACUUGUUAAAAGAGUAAAACUUUGAGGAAAUGAGAGAUACAUUAGCGAGAGAAGUUCAAUAGGGAUAUAUUUGAUGUCAAGGAAGUGGAAAAAUCAAGGUGAGGGGUUGGAAGUAGGCCGUCUGAGGUUUUAAAGUCAAGAAGCCCGUUUCUAUACUUCAGGAAUCUACUGAGAUGAAUAGUAACAGUAAACUUUAAAAAUUCGCAACUCGAGUUCCACAAAUCAAACAAUUAUCAAAGUUAUACUGUUGUAAAAUAGAUUUUUAGUACUAUCACAUCCCAGAAGACACUUUUCAGAGAUUCAAAUCACAAAUAGGCCAAAUAUUCGAUCCAAGUCAAAAAUUCAUUUUCCUGAAGAAACAGGACAUUCAAGCAGGACAGCCUACUUUGAGGAGUCACGGACAGCAGUACACAUGGAGGAAAAAUAUGAAAUUUUUACAAAACAAAGGCCCAUGAUUCUAGUUGCAAAUGCCACUGAUGACACCUCAAUCGGAUUUUUCUACACCAAGAUAUAAGCAUUUUACUGAGACUGGUCAGUGAAAUCCGAAAAUCUGGAAACUCAUUUUUCACUUGUGAAAAACUCCUUUUUCUCUUUUAAAACCACAAGACUUUUAUUCAAACCACCCAUACAUUUAAGUAUGACAUUCAUACCAGCAGUUUUAACAUAAUUUAAGCAUCAAAUUUCAACAGAAACCAAAGAAAUAUACAUAUAUUCCAAGUUUAAAGUCUUGUAAGAUGUUUAUACUAAGAUUAAAUCAUUUUCUAUCCAAUAUUCAAGGAUUAAGGCAAAUGAACUCUUCAUUUGUUCCAUUUAAGCUAAACCAGAUUCUAAGUUGUUUGUAGUUUGGGUUUUGUUCCACUACACCAGCCCCUCACAUUAAUAGUCUUUAAAAUAUUAAUGAACACAAUAUUAAAUCAUUAGAAGCCACUUUACGUAUAUAACUAUCAUAACUUUCCACUCAAUCGUGUUGGUUUAACCCUACUCGUGGAACUAGGUAUAUCCAUUAAAUCUGAGAACAAUCGUAGCUAUCAUUUAUGAAAGCUUGCAAGAUUGGAAAUUAGAAGAAAUGUUAGUUAAAAGUUGGUUUCCUCAGGGCCAUCAUCAAAACUGCAUGCAUGUGAAACAAAAGGAAAGGCAACGAGGAAGUCAGCUUUGCCAUCCUCUGGUAUUUCAAUCAUAACUAGAGCUAUGCUUAUCAGAUUGAGGCAAGCUUUAUAGCGUUUCGAAGCUAAGAUAUAUACCUACAUUUCUUAUGACGACACCAACACCCAAUUCUCAUAUUUUCAGGGUCAAAAAUGGCCGGACAGAAACACAUCCUGCUUCACUCUGUCGGACAGCAACCACAAAAUUAAUCCAGUACCGUUACUUCAACUUUUGUCAAAAACUCUAUUCUUUCACUUGCUUAAAGCUCUAAAUACUUAAGGUAUAUUCAGUCCAGCAUAUACAAGGUGAGUAACUCAUAAUUUCAGCAUGUUGUUCGGCCAAAAUCACACACAAAAUCUGUCAUCAGCUGUUGCAUCAUUCAACGAAGUUUUCCAGCAGUAUAACAGUUCAACUUUGAUGUUUUCUCAAAUAUUUCCUUUCAGGUUCAUGCUCCAACUAGAAGUAUAAAACAUAUCUUAUCAAGCUACAAAGUAGCCUUAAACAGAACAUAUGAGGUUUACAACUAAAAUUCGAAGGAAGAUUGAUUAAAAGUCCUUUUCUCUCUCUCUCUCUCUCGGCCUUCCUAGCCAGUUCCAUCAGCUUUAAUCAAAAUUUCACCAUUAGUUUUUCCAUUAUGCUCUCAAAUCUAACUUGCAAUCAUAUUAAACAUUAGACAGAUCAUAAUACGUGAGUUCCAGUCACAAUUUAGCAAACGUUUUAGAGAAAUAACCAAAAUUGCAGCUUUUCCCUCUCGAUUUGCUGUGCAGAAAAUUCCAGCUUUUGAGAUUGCUUUAAAGUCAAUCUUUUCUUGCUUUUAGCUCCUCAAAUAACACACGGAUGACUGGAUUAGGAAGAUGGCAGUUAUAUGAAGUGAGUUUUUAACUAAACUAACAAAAUUUUCUAGAGAUAAAGCUGGAAAUUUCCAGCUUCAUCUUAUUGAUCCUUCAUGUAGUGUCCAAACAGAAAUUCAGCAAAGUUUCUUCAUAUUUUACACUCAUUCCACUUGAGUUCAGGUCAAGUACUGCACCCAUGUCAAGAUAUGUAUACUAUGGAAUAUAUAUAAUGCAUGAAGACAUAAUCUAACACAUUUUGAAGGAGAAUUGACUAAAAAAUUGCAGCUUUUUAUCAUCGGGUAGCAUGCAAUAACUUUGAACAGAAUUUUCCAGCUUUGAAGAACUUUUAUCGGUGAAUUCCUUCCUUUCUCAGUUCUAGUUCAUCCCAAGGAAUUAUUAACCAGGCAUAGCAGGAAAAUGAAGAAGAGCUUAAUUAAUUACCUAUUGUCUCUUCACGGUUUAGACUGGAACAAGAUUUCUGGUUUUCUUUUGUUUCCCUCUCUCGAUUCCUUGGUUAAAUGAGCUGGAGUUUCUCUUGUUUCUUGGCUGGUGUUCAUGGUUGGAGAAGGUAAGAGAGGUCUCCGUUUUUCCUUCUUGUUGUUUCUCGAUUUUAGGCAACAGGGGAAGUGAAUGGAACCCUCUCGGUCACCGCCCAACUAGUGCACAAAUGAAUUUCUUAGCUCCUCUCAUUCGGUCAUCACCUCACGUAGCAAAUAAAUGGGCAGCUGUCUUAACAGGUACCGCACAAUCUAGAAGCCAAUUCCUACUGGUUUUCUCCCUUCCACCGCUUGGACUCAGCAGAUAAUUUCUCUUUAUUGUCUCUCUUUCGGUCACUACUUAUUCAGCAAAUUUGGUGAUGCAUUCCUUCCUGGCAGCUGUCUCAACUCACCGCCCCAGUCUCAGUUAAUUUCUACACUUCACCGCUUAGACAAGUAGAUGGUUGCUGGCUUCUAUUCGGUUCCUAUCAAUUAAAUUUUUAUUCCUCUCUCGGUUUUGGUCUUCUGAAUUCUGAUAGCUUAUGCCUUGGCCACCUGGUAGUUAGUCUAAAAUUUAAGGUUAGUUUGGUCUUUUAACUGUAGCUUAUUUGCUCACAACGGCCUGAUUUGUUUAUUUAUUUUUUUAUGAGUUCAUGCAUGGACUCGUACCUUCAUUUGUAUUUUCGUGGAAAAAUUUUGACACCUUUAGCUUUAAGAAAAAUUAUUAGACAUGUACCGAUUGAACUUCUAGUAUAGUUUACGUGACUAGUUGUAUUUGUUUGCAAAUAACAUACAUUACAAUAUGCAUGCCAUAUAUGUAUUUAAUUCAUAAAAUUUUUCUAUACUAUUCUAGAAUCUUUUCUAAAUUCUCAAUUCUAUAGAGAUUCAAUUAGGCCGUUAAUUUAAUCAUUUAUUCGUUAUACAUAAUAUUCCCAAUAUCAAAGUAAAUAAAUGAAAUAAAUUCAGGGCAUACGUAAUUUUUUUUUCCUGGGUCUUCACAGAAGGUGGGGCCGUCACAAAAUGAUUAUUCGUAAAGAAACUUAUUUAAAAGUUGAAAUUACCCUUGUUUUGAAACUCAAAUGGCUGAAGCGAACAAAAUGCAUAAACAUAAUAUGUAUGACACUCUAACCCCAUAUGAUUUUAUAUUUUACCAUGAAACCCCUUAUGAUUUAAUGUUUUAUCAUAUAAAUCCCUUAUGGCUUUCACUAUAUAUACAUAACCCCCUUAUAGUUAAUAAAUAAUUUUCAACUUUAUAUAGGGUAUUUUUUAUAUUUUAAUUGAUUCCAUUAUGGAUUGUAAAUUUCGUUAAUUUGACACUUUAAUUCAGACAAUAAGAGAGUUAUGUAUAACUUUUGAAAUCAUAAGAAGAUUAUGUAAAAAAAAAUAUUAAAUCAUAGGGGAGUAAAAUGUAAUUUAACUGUGUGCAGCAUCCAGCCCCUCUGGCUGCUGUCACUGGAUUGGGAGGAAUAUAGUAUGAAAGGCUGCAUGCACCGUCCAGCGUCUCUACCACUGUGGGUCAUGACUUUAAUUUCUUCACGGGUAGACUUGUAGUUGCCAGACUCAACACGAAACAAAGUUUGUACCCAAUUUCGAACGCUAUAUGGGCACGUCGAGAUAUUGAAUGCUGUUCAUUUACGAUUGUUUUGGUUACUCCAAAAUUUAAACGUGCAUUUGAAAUUCAUUAAAUAUCUGUUUACUCUUCUUUUAGCUUCAACCUUUUUAUAUAUUCAAAACCACCAAAAUGUUUUGCUUAUAUUUAAAAAAAAAAAAAAAAAAAAAAGAGAAGAGUUUAUCAAGUCUCAUUGAACGUAUUAAACAAGGUUUUUACCACAAAAAAAAAAAAAGAAAUAUAGCUGGAUCCAUGCAAAUAUCUGUAAAGGCUUUGUAAAGUAUGUGGAUCCUAUUCUAUAAGUAAUUAAAUUUUUUUUUUUUGGGUUAUUCUUGGAAAUAGACUACUGCAACCAGUUACUAUUUAAGUGGUCCAUGGCAGUAACUCUGAUACAAAUUGACAAAUGAAUACAUAUUUUUCAGGAACUUCAAGUCAUUGUCAUUUUAUCAGCAAUUUUCUACAAGCAUUUAGAACCAUAGAUGAUGCUUUAUCAGACGACCAAUACCAAAGGAAUUGAAUACGCAUCUCCUUAAUACUACUUCAUCAUUAUUAGCUGAUUGAUUUGGUAGUAGUAUUCCUGUCACUUUUGAUGCAUUAAAUAAGCUUAUUAAUCAAUUGUCGCUUGCGAGAAAGCUUGAUAAAAAAAAAAAAAAAAAAAUCAUCUCCAAAAACAAGUUGGCUAUGACAGGAAUGGGAGAGGGGCAAUGACAAUCGUCAGUUGAAUCGUUUCGAAACGAUGUAAAAGGGAAUCAACAGGCAAGUUAUCAAAUAUUUGUGAUAAACUCUUAAAACACACAUGUUAUAUACUUAAACUCUGUUCACGACGACCCUACAAGUUAGUUGAGUUAGAGUUACAUAUAUCGUUAUCUAUCUCACCUUUACAACAUGAAUUUUUAUGUUAUUGGCAAAAUCUGAGUCAUGAACCUUCCGAAACGUUCGUCAGUUUCGUGACAACCAUUUAGUCCGACAAAGACACUUGUCUUGUUGUAAAGUGAACUAGAAAAAUUACCUCGCAGUAUAUUUCUUAGAAGAAUAGACUAAGUACCAUCCGUUAGCCAACCACAAGUAUAGCAAUUGAAUCAAUUAUCCUGACUGAUUCUUAGACUGUUUAUUCCAACAAAUUGCCGAAUAAUGAUAUUAUGAAGUAUGUAACUGCUUUAUGCUGCUGAUACAUGUUUUCAUCGAGUGAUAAAAUUUGUUAUGUAUUCUGUAGUUAUUGUUGUAAUGAUUUCCACGAAGACUUCAAGUCAUUGUGCCUGUUUCAAGUCAUCGUGAGCCAUUGUUCCGAACCAUAGAGGUUCUUGCGUGAAUAUGUUUGUACUGGAGAACGAAUGUGUAUCUAAUGAUGAAACAUAGGACAACUGAAAGAAAAAAUACUUAUAAACAACGCAUUGUUUAUUUAUUUAUCAUUUUCGUCUCCGGCAUUAACAAGCAGGAGUACAUUUGAUUUCACCCCUCCUUCAGCAGAUAGCGAUCGAGAGGAACUGAUCAGGCAGCACGAGCAUAGGACCGUAGCAUGGACUGGAAAUUUACCUCGUGAUGAAGGUAGGGGAAAACCAUGAUGCCUCCAUAAACAGGAGAGUUCUUCAGAUAGGGAAGAACCUCAUAAACUAGCUCAUUAGGUGAGAUGAAACCGCCCUCAGGUGCGAUAGAAGAGUUUAUUGGUAUUCCCAGGAACAAUAGAUUAACGCCUGGAUAAUCAGACCAAUUGUCCCAGCUCCGGAAGAGGAGACUGGUAUCGUUUGGAGGCUUAAACUGACAAGAUGGGUUGUCGAAAAAUUCCACCCGCACCUGAUCAACGACACCAGUUCUGAUAGUUGUGUCAAGAGCAGGGUCAGGAAUAGGACAUUCCGCAGCUACGGCUAAGAUGACAUUUGGGUAUCCCUUAAGUGCCCGAGCAAGAUCAUCCAAGUAAGUCGUGUUUCCGCUGUGGAUGUGAAGCUCUACGCCAUCUAAAACAGCUGUGCCGAAUGGACGGUCGCUUGAUUCACCGCCUAAGUAAGUGUUCCAGACAAAGGCUGCCACUUCUUGCGCAUCUUCGACGGAAGAAAGCCUCGGUUGUCCUGCGAGAGAAAUAAACACUUUGGUCUGAUGUUUCUGGCAAGAUUCUAUGUCUGAUGAGCUCGGCAAAGGAUGAAUUAUGUUCAAUUCAGGCAUCUGGCCGCUGCCAAAAUCUUCCAGAAAGGCAAUAUUCACGUCGGUAGCGAAUUCUCGCCUGCAGAACUCAGCCAAACUUGAUGGUUCUUUAUGGCCUCGGCCCCAGUAUUGGACAAUUCCGGCAGCUUCGGAGGACCCAAUCAGAGAAGCAAUCAACAGGAAUGUUAUUGCUGAGAACAGUGGUUGCAAAGAGGCAGCCAUUUUUUUUCUCUUUCUUUUCAGUGAUUUUUGCAGCUUUGCUUUGGUGAGUUCACUUGCACAAUGACUGACCAUUUUAUAGAUGAGUUUAUCUCAAGUGGAUGUUCAGCAUCUAGAAUAUCCAAACAUCCGUACAACAAAACGUGAAUGGCACGAUUUCUCAUUUCUGCUCUCAAAAAGGUGAAUGGUAUUAUUUUUGUGUUUCAAUAUUGCUAGAGACUACCGUUGUGCUCGCCUAACCUCAUCCACAACUGGACGAAGAAAGAUCUUUUUCUUUCUUUUUUUUUUCUUUUGGGACAUUACAUGGCAGCUAGGGGGGGGGGGAGUGGAUCCUUGAGAUUAAUGGGAAUUGAAUCAUCAUUGAAUUAGACGAGUGGUCCAAACAUCCUCUAAAUUUUAGAAGAAAUUGCAUAUCAAAUGAUAAUUGAUGAAAGAUAAAAUUCGAACCUCGAUAAGAGAAAACUAGGAGUCUUGUUUGAAAUGUAAAAUUUUCAUGAACAUUCUUGAAGUAAAAAGAGUGCUCAAGUAGCCUACGAAAUCCUUCAACUAUGGUACAAUAAAGUGAAAUGGGUGCCUUUCAAUGUGCAAUAAUGGUAGGGGCAACUAUUCUUCUAACUGCUGCUUCAAAUGCAAUUUUUAAUUUACACUUUUUACCAUCUCUCUAUAUCUUUAAAAAUUAAAGUAACCUGCACAACAUGCCCUUACUAUGUGCACAAAUAUUCAUACCGAUGUGCAAAACUUUGGAAUGGUCCUAGUUGUAUAUAUUAGUAAUAGUAGAAAUGUAAAGUUCAAUACUUCCACCUCAAAAGUAACUGCAAAAUAUGUCAGUUGGAAUGAUCCCAUUUAAAGUUCAGAUCACCCCUUAUUUAAUUAUGUUAAGUUCUUAAUAUUUUCCCAUUCAAUCCUUCAUUCAACAGCGGUGAUGGUGCUGUGACGUUUGGUCUUAAGCAAGAAAAUUUUUUUCCUCGCCCUCAGUGUGAAUGUGACUCUCAUAUAUAAAUAAUCUCAUAGCAAAACAUGUUCUUACUGAUCGCAGAAGUGAAGCUUGUACACAGGAAUGUAUAGAUUCCAGUUACAUCCAACUAAUCACUGUUUAAGCAUACGAAUUAGCCAUCACGGGCUAAGACACAGAGGCAAUUCCAGUUGGUUCUAGAUAAAGGGAUCUUCCUCUAACCUGCUGUCACAUCCUUUACAGGAGCCAAGACAGCAGGAACUAUGUCCACAGCCGAGAUAUGUCUCUGCUGAAACAUAGCCAAAUUCCUUGCUGUCCAUAGCUAGUAUAGGCUCAAAACCCUCUUCUCUUUCUUUGCUUCUUAAAUUCCACCCUUCAAUCCUAUGCUACUCAUCCUAUUUUUUAAGAAUUUUAAUUUAUUUAUUUUUUAAAAAAAUUGAUUCAUGUCUUCUGUUUGGAUCCAUGUCUUUGCUGCUUUUAAUUCCUUAAUUUAACGUAGCCCCAAACACGGCAUAUAAUAGUCACUCUCUUAAUAAAUGCAAUUAAUUAAUCAUACCAAAUAUAACGUUUGGAUUAGGUAUUGUAGCACACCUUAGUUUUAUUCUGUUCCCUAUUUUACUUAGUUUCAAACAUGCCCUAUAAUAAUCAACCCUCUAAUGAUGCAAUUAAAUAAAUAUACCAAAAAUAUCUAUACAUAUUUGAAACUAAACAUAAUUGUAUCCAUAACAAUCAAUAUAAAAAAUUAACUAAAAAACAAUCUUUGACUAACAUAAACUAAUAAUCUAAGUUCUUGUCCUCCAAAGAAAUAACAAUAUUCCAAAUCAUAUAAGUUGAACAGCUUAGCAAAUUAGCAAAAUUGACUAACAAACACAACACAAGGUUACAAAAUAUUCAACAUUUCUGUAUUCUUUUUCUAACUAAAAUUUACAAAUCAUACCCAAAAAAAGAACUAAUCUAAGUUCCUAUCCUCUAAAGAUAUAACAAGAUUCCAAAUCAUAUAGUUGAACAAUUUACCGAAUUAGCAAAAUUGACUAAAAAAAUACAAAAAGAGAACAACAAAAUUUUCAAUAUAUUUUGUAGUGCUUUCCUAAAUAAAAUUUAAAAAUCAUACCCAAAACAUAAAAAAAAAUGAAAUAUACUUAUCAGAUACUUCAAUUAUUAGAAUCAUCAUGCACAGAAAAUAAAAAAAAAUAGCUCUAAAUUUCAGCCCAGACCUAGAUCUAAAAUUGGACCUGAAUUAUAUAUAAUCGGACAUUAUUCAUGCUAUUAGAAUUGAUAGAUUUUGUUCGAGCAUAAAAAUGAAAUAUAAUAUUUUUACCUAUUCUUUUGUUACACAAUCAAAAUUAAAAUUAUGUUAUAGUUAUGACUAAAAGAAAUGGAGAAGUAUAUUUUGCAACUACUUAAACUUUUUAUUUAAACUAAAGACAUAUUGAAACUAGGAAAAUUAGUUUAGAAAAGAUAAUAUGAAAAUAAUGCACAAAAUUUGGCUCUAUAGAUGUAGCAUCUACAGAAAGGACGAUUUGCAUUUAGGGGUUGCGGGGAUAUGGAAAAGUAGCAUGGAAUGGGGUUGAUGCAAGGUAGAGUAUGAGGACAAGGGAAGAAGGAAGUAGGAAAGUGGUGAUGUGGGGGGUCGUAGGAAAAGUUAAAGGAAGCUAAAUUUACGCAAUGAUACUAAACUACUUAAAGUUUGAAAUUCCAAUUGAAAAUAUUAAUAUUAUGAAAAUUAGUUUAGGAACGACAAUUCACAAAAAUUACACAAAGUAUGGCUCCAUUUUGAUGGGUUACUUUUAGAAAACUUUCAUAAUGGGAAUAUUCUUUUAAAAUCUUUAUAUGCAGUAUUUUUUGGGUCUUUUUUGAAAAUUUUUGGUAUGUUUUCAUUGAUGGCAUUGAGUAUACUUAAAAAUGGUAGGUAAGUAAUAAAAUGAGUCUCGGGAAUAGAAAAAGAUAGUUGGCAAUGGGAGUGUAGGUAGCAAUUGGUAAAGAUUUAAGUUGACUAAGUUUACUUAACAAUAUUAAAUUUACUAUGAAUUAAUCCUAUAUACACUGAUAGUGUAUACGCUAUCAUUAUUAGAUAAAUGAUAUAUGUGCAAAAUUUGAAUUUAAAAUUCAAAAUUUACUCAUAUGUCAUCCAUUCAAUCGUGAUAGUGUAUAUAAAAUUUACUCAUUUACUUUAUAGAAAUAUUAGAUUUACAUUUUAUUAUCAUUUUAUGAGAUUAAAUUUACUUAACAAUAAAAUUUACUUAACGAUAUUAGUUUCAUAUUUCUAUUUUACCUAUUAAAUUUACUUACUAAUAUUGCUGUAACAAUAGUAUUUUACUAUCACAAAUACCAGAUAUUAUUGUUUAUGGACAUAGAUAGACAUGAAAUUGUCCACAAUAAUAAUAAAAAACAAGAUUCAUCUUAUUCUCUCAUGAUAUUUUUUUGUUUUUGUUUUUUAUGUUCCUAACAUUAGGCCUUACAUAUAAAAUCUUUUUAUCGACUUCUUUUUUUAUCUUUUACUUAUCAUAUAAAAUCUUAUUACUUCUUUAAAGAUAUAAUCCCUUACAUAUAUAUAGCACUAGUCCAAUCAUACGUUGUCGAAGAUGAUCAAGCUCUUGCUGGCUUGCAUAUAUAAAGGCCAACGUCUUGAUUGAUCAAUUUUGAUAUCACUCGUCAAAAUGGGUGCCCAUCAAAGACUCGUCAAAGUCUCGUGAUUAAUUUCCACAAAUUAAAGGAGUUGCGUGAUACAGAGAACCUCUGCCUUACUGUAGACUUUUCACAAUACCACGUGUCUGCCAUUAGUACAUCAUUUGGAAUUUUUUAGACAGCGACCGUACAGACGUGGAUUCGUUUGAUAGAGUCUGGGAUUUUGAAGGUCAAUUGUCCAAUAGGGAUCUCGACAUUUUACAGCCACCUCAGCUGCUAAGGAAUGAACGGCUCCUGUAGCUGAUAGGCGGAUAUGCCUCCCAAAGGAGAUUUUCUCAAAAGGAAUAUCUUUAAUUUUCCAUGGCGGAUUGAGACUUCCAUCGUCCACUUGUCCCCACCUAGCCCGUCGCCAAGUUUUUCCACACAAACAUUCUAUUGAAACUAGCUGUUUUUAGGGGUAUUUUUGAAAAAAUUUGCUGUAAUAGAGUUUUUAGAUUAUAUUUUACGAUAUUUUUAGAAAAUAUUUUGAAAUAUUUAAAAGUAGAAGAGUUUUUAGAAUAUAUUUUAAAUUAUUUUUAAAAAUUUUAAAAAAAGUUAAACUAAUUUUUAGCGUACUUUUUAAAAAUUUUUAUUAUUUUUAAAAAACAUUCCCGUCCAAAUAGAGUAAUUAUCAUUCCGAUAUCUUUAAUGAAUGGCGAUGUUUUUUGCAUUUGUCUUUUUUGCUGUUACAAAUAAUAUGGUAUAAAAUAGUCGAGUCGAGUUACUCAAUUCUUUUUUUUUUAGCAUGAAAGUUUUAAUUGUGCUGCGUAUUUCUAGAUUUUAGUGCAUGUUUUUAUCUGUCAUUAAAGCAAUGAUGUAUAUCAAUCGUGUUGGAUGAUUUUCAAUAAUUCGUUAAUGAAAUAUAUUUUGUUAUGAAAAAAAAAAAAAAGAGAAUAGAUACGUCAAAUAGUCUACUGACUUAUAUUGUCGAAGAUCUGCACUCUUGAUUGGCCUAUCUGUGUUGCAUUUUCCUGUAAUUGAUGGAAUUUAGAUCCGAUAAGGGAGUACACCUAAUGGACAAUAAUUGCAAGAUCAUUUGCUCAGCAAAGUAUGUGGAUCCCACUCCGUACGUUUUGUCGGCUAUUCUUGGAAAUGGACUAUUCCAUCCAACCGGUUUUUACCCGAGAGGUAAUUCUGACAUCAUUUGACAUAUUUUCUGGGAAAACUUUUUAAGUGGUUGCCUUCUUUUUUUUUUUUUUUGGGGUCGAAAGGAUAGAAUUAAGUGGUUGUCAUUUUAUCAUCAAUUUUCUCUAGACAUAGAUAAAUGGUGCUUUAUCUGAAAUUGCUUUUGCGAAUAUUAUUCUUGUCACGUGACUGCAUUGGAUAAGCUUAUUAUCAACUGCCACUUGUACUAACUGACAAGCUCUUAUGUAGUUGAGAGAAAGCCUGAUAAAUAAAUUAAGCCGACGGUCAUGGUAAAUUUCUUCUCGUGAUUCGUAUUGCUACCGAAAUAGGAAAAAGGGGCAUGCUUCAUAUUGAGUCAUUACGAAUAAAAGCCCUAAUGUUUCAAUGUCUGGACUAAGUACAGAAAGUGAUAAACUAAGAACUAAAAUCCAUCAAGCGUAUUAUCAUUCUACCAACAAGAACUGGACUUCACUAAUGAUAAUUUUAAUGCCAUAGCUUUCAACUCGUUCCAAGUGAGAACUUACAAAAAGUAGUUCAACUCAAUGACAGCUCCUGUACUAAUCCUUGUCACCAAUCCAUAAGCCCUGACGUUACAAAGAGGAAAAGUAAAAGGCAAAUAAGUAGCAACUCGAAUCUGAACUCGAGUUGAGCUCGGUCAAUAUCAAGUUCGAACUGACCAAAUCGAAUUCGAAUUUGAAAAUAUUUAACUUGUUAGCUCGCGAGCCAACUCGAUUAUAUAAAUAUAUAUAUUAUUUUUUAUUUUAUUAGUAAAAUAUUAUAUAUAUAUCACUAAUAUUUUAUUAUUUAUUAAGAAAAAUUAUUAUUUUAUUUAUUUUUAAAAAUAAAAUAAUUAUUUUUUAUUUUUUUAAGCUCGACCUUGAGUUGAAACUCGACUCGAACUUUACAUUUUGAAUUCGUUGAACUCAAAUUCGAGUUUGAGUUUCAUAAAAUUAAAUUGUGAUUCAAUUCGAUUAGGUCAAAACUCGACUCGACUUGACUUGUCCCGUUUCGUUUGCACCCGGAAGGAAGGACCUUAGUAGUGAUUCCUAUCAAUUUCUUUGAUUUAAGGUUUCAGUUCUGCCUGGGAAAAGGUGAAGAGGCACCACUAGCAUGGCUGUAGACCUAGUAGCUACAAUAAAGGCAUCAAGUUGCCCCGCCAAAAUCCGGCCAACCUCCAUCGCCAAUUAACCAAAAGAUAUUUUUAUCAUAGCUAAUAUUUGAGAAUAGGCAAUAAGGGAUAACCUAAGAUUAGUAAGUAGAUUUUUGACUAAAGGAGGAGAAGGCAUUUGGAGAGGUAGGCAUGCUUUUUUUUUUUGUCGGUAACGGUAGAUGUCUUAUAACCUAAUCUAGACUAAUCUAGGGAAGAGGGGUAAGAGGAGAUGGUCAAUUAAAACUAGCCACAUAUUGUGGUAAAAUUUGAAAGAGAUAGGGAUAGAAUCCCUAACCUCCAAUAUCACCAAAGAGGGUGAUGAUCACUGGACCAAAUGGCCCGUGACAUUUGGAGAGGUAGCAUGCAGCUGAGCAACUUUAAGAAAAUGCUCGAGAUGAGGAAGACGAAGAGAGGCGAAAUUUCCUAGCUAGGGGAGAAUCGAUCGGGUGGCUUCAACCUUAUUGGUCCAUGAAUUUCUUUGACACAUGGCCCUUCACGCGGUGUCUUCGUACGUCUCGCACUGGAACUAGACUACUAGGUUGUUUAUCGGCCGAUAAUUUGAUUAAAAAUUCAAUUUUUUUUUUCAAUUUUUUCAACAAUGUCAACAUCCAAUUACCGUUCAAACUUUUAUUUAGUAAUUGAAUAUUGCAAAUUGGAUUACGACCAAAUAAUUAGUAUUUCAGUAAAAUAUCCAAAGUUUUAGAUUGAUUUUCUAAUAUAUAUUAGUUAAGUAUAUUUAAUAUGUAAUUAGUAAUGUAAAAGGUUAUUAAUAUGUUCAUUAAUAUGCUUUUAAGGUCAUAUAUUUGUCUAUAAACAUAUAUUAUAACUUAUAACACUAUGGAUUGAUACAUCAAUAUGCAAUAUGAUAUAUUAAUAGGCAUGAAAUAUAUAAAAUAUUUAAUUAAAAUAUGAAAUUCGGUAACUCAGUCGGUGGUAAUCGAAAAUUCGAGAAUCGAAAUUCAAUAUCAAAUCACAAACUGUUUUGCCAAAAUUUAAAAUUGGAUCUUAAUCGGUUUUUCCAAAUUUCAUUUCACCGACAUCCGAUUUUCAAUUUAAAUUGGAUCAAUCGAUUAUUCGAUUUUUUUUUCCUUUUUUUUGGAAGUGUGAGGACCCCUAGCUGGCUGGUACCAGGGUAGCCAGCCAAAUUACAAUUGACCAGCUGAAUUGGCAAAUCUCUUUCUCGUCUAUCUAGCAGUCUAUCGGAUAAGAUUUCUCGUGUUUAUUGUUCCGUGCUUCAACCGGUAAAUUUAGACAGCGAUGGAUAUCUGCUUGGGCAGGCAAACACCAUGCCCUUAGGUGUCAGUGCAUGGACUUGCAGGAAAAGUCACUGUCCAUUUUCUACGCCGCGGUUGCGGGUCAUGACUUGAACUCAUCGUGCUGUUGGCUACUAUAUCAAACAAGAGAAAAAGGGAAUCCAAUGCAGCGUUUCUUUCUGUUAGUGUUACUACGCCAAUGUUUCUAGCCAAUCACUUUUCUUUUCAUCAGCCAAAAUCAAUCAGGUGAGAUGCUUCCUCGAAGUUUAAUACCACAUAAGCGAAGUAUGAACUUGCUUGUUUAAUACCACAUAACACGAAGUAUGAACUGUUAGAAUUGAGUCACAAUGAGUACCAGUAACUCAGCCUAUGAUUUAUUGUUCCUCGAAAAUUGUUAUCCAUAUUAAAGUUCGAAAAACAAUUUAACCAAAUCGUAUGGAGUACUAUUCAUCCAUUUUUUUGGUCUUUACUUUAACAGCACAACUUAGAGACAUUAUUCAGUUUCUGCAAAUUCUUUUGUCAAAAAUGGCCCAAGGAUGAUUUUUAUUUGAAAACUGCAAUAUUUUUGGUCUCUUAGCUUUUCAAAUUGUCUAAAAUAAUGCUAGAUUUCUGCUCUAGAAUACUAAUUUAGUCUUUCAAUUGUCAACUAUUGCACUGAAUUUUCACUUAUUUAGGAGGUGGCUGGGGAGGGGGGAGGAGAGGGAAGAGGGAGAAGGAGGAGUGGAGAGGAGAGAGAGUUAGGGAGGGAGUAAGAAGGGGAAAAAAAAAAGAGGGCUCCGCCGGCUACCGUGAGCAGUGGGGAGGGAGGGAGGAGGAAAAUCAAUGAGGUGGAGGAUAUGAAGAGGAAAGGAAAGAAAAGAAAAAGAAAAAAGAGGAAAACUUUUACACAUCUAAAAAAGUUUUUUUUUUAACAAAUUUUACAGUAAGAUACAGUAAAAUUUUAUAGAUUAAUCUUUCCUACACCGACAGUGUAUAUACUACACUUGGGAUUCUCGGUGACAUGUUUUCUAUGCCAACCCAAUGCCACCAAUAGUGUUGCGUCAAGUGUCAUGUUAUUAUUUACACUUUAAUUUUCUAAUAAUUCAACUUGACUUGGUUUAACACAAGUGUAAAUAAUAACAUGACACUUGGCGCAACACUAUUGGUGGCAUUGGAUUGGCAUAGAAAACAUGUCACCGAGAAUCCCAAGUGGUAUAUACUAUCAGCGUUGGAAGAAUGACAACUAUGCAAAAUUUUAAUUUGAAAUUCAACUUUUGCACACAUGUUAUAAAUCCAACGAUGAUAGUGUAUACACCGUCAGUGUAAGAAAGAUUUACUCAAAUUUUAUACAAACACACAAAAAAUUCACUCACUAAAUAGGGCUUUCAUAACACAAAACCUGGUAGCACUACUCACUAUUUCAGUACACAAAUAAUCAAGAGUUAAAACACACAUGAGGAAAGCCAAGUUCCAAAGCCAAUUCGCAGCUGGUUCUAGUUAAAGGGAUCUUCCUCUGACCUGCUACCACAUCCCUUGCAGAAGCCAACACAGAGAAACUAUUUCCACAGCCGAGACGUGUCUAUGCUGAAACAUAGCCAAAUUCCCUUGCUCUCCUUAUCUAGUAUGCCACAAUUUUUUAAAGAGAGAGAAAUAGAGAAUUAUAUUUGGAAAUGACUGAAUUCCAAGAUUACAUGCAUCUAUCAGAAACUAAUAUUAUUUUGUGGAUAUGAAAUUCAAAAAUCUAAAGAAGUGGGUCGUCUUUGAAUAAUAAAAACUAAAGGGCACCCACACUUUACAUAUGAUUUAGACAAAAUAAUAGUAAUUUGCCAUAAUCAACGCUUUGGAUGAUGCUAUUGGACGUUCAAAAAGAAUUAAAGAUCAAGCGCAAACGUGUUGGUACUAUAUUAUGAAUUGGUUUAACAUUAAUUUGCCUGUAACCUCCUAUACAACUUGCAAAACUAAGCAUAAAUGCAUGGGGCCCAAGCACUAAUUAUUUGAGCCAAGAUUAUUUUCCACUUUGUGUGAAGACAAAAGCAUGUGGGAUGUUCCAAGGAGCCCUUCCUGUGGCCGAUACAAAUACAGCGUUCAUGAACUAAUCCCCAAAGGACCUCUUCGUGUUGUCUGUAUCACCUGUUUACCUCCAUUCAUAGUUGCCAUUGUGUUCGUUCUAUGCAUCCUUUUGUUUGGUUUAAGAUUCCUCAACUCGAGGUGGGAAUUGGGAUCUUUUUGUUUCGAAAGAAAAUAUUUUCCAGAAAAUAUUUUCCUGAUUUUCCAUUGUUUGAUUGGGUUAUUGCUUGCGAAAAUUUUUCAUAUAAAUGAAUUGAAGUUAUUUUUCAUGUCCGACUCGUAAGGCUAUCCAUUCUAGCUCCCUUCUUUGCUGUUUUCUCUCUCCAUUUUUCUUUGUCCCUGUCUUUCUUUCUCUCAGAUACACAGACCAUACGCACUUAUGGAGAGAUCUAGACUUGAAAUUGAAAGGGGCUAUAGGGAGAUCGUGAAGGAUGCCAGAGAAAGUUUUGAUGUAUGAAAAUGAAAUGAAGUUGUUAAUCUUGUGCUAAUAUACUGUAAAUUUGAGGUAUGUUUGUUCAACGGACAUUAACGGUUACCGUUUGGAUUGCUAUUUUCUAGAGCUUUUGUAAAAAGAAAAUGUACCGUAAUGAUUUGACAGAUAUAAAAUAAAAAGAUGAUCACGAAAAACGUAAAAAUUUUUUGAGGGAAAAUGGCUUUCCAAACAAUUGCUGAAAUGUUGAUUAUGGCGGAAGAACGGUGGUUUUUAGGUAAGAGCCUGAAAUUUGGUACGGACUUGUGAACUAGAGGAUAUCUUAACUGCCUGAACAAGAGUAAGUUCUGACAGUGGAUCCCUCAAGAAUUUGUCAUCCAUAAGUUAAUAAUUAUCAACCAACGUACAUAGUAGUUAACAAAAUGUACCUGUUUUCAAAAAUUAGUUUUUUUAAAUAUUAUUAAAAUUUUUAAAAAUAUUUUAAAAAUUAUUCUAAAAAGUAAUCUAAAUUUUUUUUAAUAUUUAAAAAAUAUCUUAAAAUAUAUUCUAAAACUCUUCUACUCUUAAAUAUUUUAAAAUAUAUUAUAAAAAUUCUGAUAUAAUAAAAUUUUUUAAAUUAUUUUAAAAAAUAGCUAAUCCAAACGAAAAGAAACCGGACGUUCUUGUUCUCAGGUUUUCGCUUUUCGGCACGAGAAACCCACAAAACACUACAAAGUGGUGGCAAACAGCACUGAGACGGAGAGUGGAUUAAUCCGGAGAAGAGAAGGGGGUGUCGAUUGUCGAAAAUCACCUGGUUCAUAUUUCGCGCCCUGUCGUUUUGCUGAAUCAGCGUGUGCUGGAAUAGUCAGGCCCCUCCCUCGACAAUAAUGGAAUUAGCUGCCGCGCACGUACGUACCUAUGCAUGAAAACUGACUUCACAAGCUUUAUAGCUGUCCCCUCCAUGGAUAUGAAUAUGAAUCAGAAUCUGAAUCAGUCACUCAAAACUUUAUUAUCUCUGAACGAACGCCCAUAAACAGCCCCUGAAACAGUAAAUUCUGGCAGCUGCUCUUUGUCGUAGAUGCCAAAAAUGGUCCUUGGAACAUUAAUUCCGUGAAACAGUAAAUUCUGCCAGCUGCUGCUCUCUGUUGAUGAUGCCAAAAAAAUGUCCUUGCCUACUUAAAUCAAUUUUGAACCGACUCAAUUGAAUCAAAUUCAAUGACUUGCAUUUUUUCUGUGAACCUCCUUAGAUUCAUCCCUCUUUAGAAUUUAUCGUGUCUGAUAAAAAAAAAUUUAAAUCAAUUUUGUUUUAACUCUCUGUCUAAUCUUCAAGGAUGCCGUGUCACGACUAUCGCUGUGCUUCCUCUCUCCUCUCCGCCAUGUCUGAAGUCUCAACUCUCCUUUCCUCACUUUCAGUUUCAACCACAAGUCACAAGGCUUCAACUCUCCUUUCCUCACUCUCAUCUCCUCCUCCUCAUCAUCAGGCCUAAGAAUUCUUCCUUUUUUUUUUUUUUUCCUUAUCUUCUUUGUCCUCCAGAAGCCCACUUUAAUAUAUUUUUUUUGGGGUAAGUAGCCCACUUUAAUUAGUAUUAUCCUCACGAUAAGUUAGAUGUUUGAACAGACCCUAUUAUUUUGGAAUGCAUUUUUAAAUUAAAGGAAUUAAAAUUAAAUCGAUGAUCUUACAUCAAAGAGAUUUGUCCCAAAAUAUAUAUAUAUAUAUGGGAUGGGGAAGUCGAUUUGGCUUAUAGCAAUAAAAUACUCCUACAAACUUGUCGGUGGUUGGUUGAAAGUUGAAAUAUCUGGCAGAUAUAAUUUGCAGAUGUGUUUGUGUGUCCUCUGACUGAGAAAGAGCAGGAGGUGGAUGGAGAAACAAGGAGGAAGCAAAGUCGAUAUAAAGAAUCAAGGACUCGGCAUAACUAAAGAAAGAAAGGGUGGUGACAACCGGGUCGGCGAGGUUCGGGGUGGGAUUUGUUGGAGGGAUGGGGACUAGCUAAGAUUGGUGGAGAAGGUGAUGAUGGUGUUCAGUAGUUCGGCAAGGAUUGAGUUAAAGUGCAUUGUGGAGGAAGGAACGAUUGCUAUGCCUUUGUGCAAAGUUACGUCAUCAAAGUUUUCCGACUCCAAAUGGGGUGAAAGUUCUCAUGAGCUAAUGCCUCAUGAAUUUUUAUUUUUAAAUAUUUAAAAAAUAUAAAAAUACACACACACACACCUACAUAUAUAUACACGUGUGCAUGUAUAAUAUUAAAAAUACCCAAAAAAUAAAGAAAAAUUAUAACCAAUGCCAUCCCAUGAACAGAAACCAGCAAAUCACUGUAAACUUCGAUGAUUAUUUGCACAAAAAAACUCGUUGUUAUCCCGCAAACUAACGAUCACAGUUGCGAAAACUCUUUUCUUGUGGUGUGAGUUUUGACUAUCAAAGCAAGUGUCUUUCUCCUAUUUCUUUAGAAUAUCCUCAAUGUGAGGAACAAAGUUUUGAAAUUUCACCUCCUUUGCCAACUUAAAUUUGUAGGCUAAUAUAAGAAAAGUUUUCAGAAAUUGCAAGUUCAAUUUGAGGGUCUCAACUUUCUUUAGGCAAGUGAAGGGAAAAUCCAGUUUGGAUGUUUUUCUGGAACUUAAAAAAAGGGGAAAAAGUGCUUGGAUUUUAAAUGUAUAGAUUUUUUACGUCUAAAAAAAAAAAAAAAAAAAAAAACUCACCCAAACGUCCAGGCGUUUGCCUCGAUUCUUGGGGCAAAAUGUCCCAUGAUAUUAACGCCCCAUUUAACUGUCCAGGAGUAAUUCGAGAAUGUCUUGCCCUGAAACUUACCCCAAAUAAACACUGAUCUUAAACAGAGAGAGUUAGAAAGACAACUUUCUUGGAUAGAGGACAUGAACCACUUUCUUUCUGCCACUAGCAUGUGCCACUAGCAACUUUCUUGAAUCCUAUUUUGCAAGUUAUCAAUUUUUGGUUACUUUUAUUCUUGGACAUGGACCAGUCCAACCAGGCAUUAACUAAGCGGUCCAUACCAAUAAUUCUGAUGUAAAUCUUUCUUCUUUUUUUUUACCAUGUGCCUUUUUUGAUGAAAAAGAUAGACACAUUUUAUUAAUGAUGCUACAGGAAAUCGUCCAUGAGUUGCUUGACAAAAUUUAGAAGGGAAUUUCAAAGAGAUUAAAAAAGAUUAGCACUCUUAGCAUGAUGGGUUAAAGUAUGCGCUACCUUAAUUUGCUUCUCUUGGAAUCCAUUGAUUCACUGAAUAUCAAUACAAAGCUGAUCUAAUAAAGCUAAAUGUACAUCCUCAAUAAUUGGACCUAAAUCAGAUAGGAUGUCUUCUUUGUCCUGUCUUCUUUAUCAUGAAUAAAUCUUAUGAUUGAGGCUGCGUCUCCCCGCAAUUUUGGAUCAUUUGUGGGCCUGAAUCAAAUAACUCCCGGGAACGAAUAUCACAAUGGACUUGAUUGGAACGAAAAUGCCUUACCAAUCCCACAAUCCAUUCCAGUUCAAGUUAAGAUCAGCAAUAUCGUUAAUUAGCCGCUUAAGCUUUGUUUAAUCAUAACUUACCCCUAUUGUCUUACAUCUUAAGCAGAUACUCUUUUGGUUUUUUCAUCUUAAGCAGUUACCAUUUGCUACAUCGCAGUCAAUUAAAUAGUUAAACAGAAAAUCUAGCAUUUAUACUAAAUAAAAGAAUUUUAAUGAUGCAUAUUAUUUGCUGCAAUCCUUAAACCAUCCAAGCCUAAGAAUUAAAAAUAAAAGGUCUACAUGAAUAAAAUAAAAGAUUGGAGAUUAAAGAUGCUUUAGAAAAAAAAAAAAAGGUUAAUUCAAAGGACUAAAUGAACUACUUGCGAGAUCUUUUUGUCCUUCCAGAUUAAAUGAUUUGUCGUUAAUAGUAUUGAAAUAGUUAAAAAUUAAAAUUAUUGGGACUAAAUGUAUUUUCAUAAAACUUUGAAGGCGAAAAUGGUGUAACCCCAUAAGUUAGAGGUAUAAAGUGUCAUCUUUUCCAUUUGUGAAAUUUGCAAUUGGUUUGCUGACUUUCUGUCAAAUAUUUGUACAUUAAUUAAUUUUUCUAUAUACUGACAAUACAUACCAUCAAAGUCGGAAGCAUAACAACUGGUAUGAAUUUCAGUUCGAAAUAUAAAUAUUUUGCAUACGUAGUGUCCAUCAAAUUCAGACCUUAAUCGAUCCAUCUAUCUAUGAAGGAAACAGUGGACUCUGUGGCGAGCCACUCCCAAAUGACUGCCUGGAACAUAAAUUGCCUACGAAAAAUGGGCAUAUUCAUGAUGAUAUAGGUCACGGCGAGUCUCAUUGGUCUUGGUUUUAUGCUGGUAUAGGACCGGAUUAUGCUGUCGGGCUAUUGGGAGUUUUGGGAAUCCUUCAGUUCAAGAAGUCAUGGCGCUAUGCAUACUUCAGGUUUCUGGAAAAUGCCUAUGACAAAAUCUGCGUAAUGAUUGCAUUGAAGGCCAAUCAGCUGAGGAGGAAUUUCCAUUGAGUAAUGCCCUGUAAAAGCACAUUUAUUUUGUUUUUCAUAUCACGCAGCAGCAGCAUACUCUCCUUGAGAAUUUACAGAACUAUGGUAAUUUGUAAUUUGUUCUCCAAACGUUUCUAAAGAUUUGUUUUAUGCGUCCCAACUUGACCGAUUCUUAUUCAAUAAGAAAAUGAUAGCUUAAUAGUUUUCUGUUCUUUUUUUUUUUCCCCAAGACUAAGAAGCUCAAUAAGUUAUAAUUAUUUUUCUGUUCACAUUGGAAUGCAUUAAAUAUUCUAUAUCGAGCAAUUUAUAGGUUGUUUAUCUUGCUUACUGAUCGAAUUUUUGUGUCAACAGAUUUAAACACUUUAGAAGAAUUCUAUACUUGUUUAUGCUAAUAAUUGAUUUAGUUGUUUAAUUUCUAAUUGAUAUACAUUCUAGCUUUUCUGCCAACAACUCUUAUGAAUUACCAACUACUGAUUUUCAGGUGUUACAUUAAUUCUACCCACCUAAGUUUCACUCUCGAAACUUAAUUUGACCAGAUUAGCAUAAAAACAAACUGCACUUUCAAUUAUAUCACUUUACAUGAACAAAUAUUAAUUAAACUACUAGUAUUUAGGGCACACACCAAUGUGUGUACACCUAAUAAAAAACAUAUUAUUAAAAUUUUGAGUAAAUUUUUUGAAAUCAUUUCAAAGGAAUUGGUUUUAUAUUUUUGACAAUGGGUAUUGGAAAAUUCACGAAAAUAAGUGUACAAAUAGAUAGUUGUUUAGCAGUAAUCCAUAACCAUAAUCGAUAGUUGAUUACAUUGGGUAGCUAGCAAGGUAAGUUAAAAAAUAAUAUAAAAUGACAAAAUUUUAUUUAUACCAAAAGCCCUCUCCCCCUUUAUAUAUUUACAACAAAAGCUUUCUCCACCUUUACAUAGAGCAUGGAUAUUAUUUACUCAAGGACAAUUCAUGUCCCCCCCACCCCUCCUUCCCCUCCUCGCCUUUUUGGUCAAUCGUUAACUCCUAUUACUACUCCUACUCUAACCAAUAUUAGGGAAUGAUCCAACUGGACCAAUGGGGCCGGAGAAAGAAGAUCUCACCUGUAUAUCAAAGAGGUUCACUAGACCAAAGAAGGGUUGCUUCAUGUUCAAAUCUGCUAUGCUUUUUACGAGGCCAUAGAAAUUUCAAACACCUGAUGCCCAUUACGUUUCCCUUGCGUCAACAUUAAUCCAAACAUCAAGAAGUAAUUCCACUUAAUUAACCUUAUUUUCAUUUGAACUUUGGUUAUAUCUAAAGUGAUAAUCAUGUCUUCCUAUUCAUUAAAGUAAUCUACUAUCAAUUAAAACUCCACUAGUAAAUUCCGUGCUCUCAUUUUCUGAUUUGCCAGAUUCUCGGUUGCACCCCGAAUUUACUUCAUAGUAUAUGCCAUCACAGUGGAUCUAGAAAUAUUAUAACAUAACCGCCUAGAAAUUUCUUCAAGAUAUAACCCCUUUCAAUAACUUCACCUACUCAUGAUUUUCAAUCUUGAAUUACCUGUAGUUUUAAGAUUCAAAUCAAGUGAUCAUAAGCCAUGUGAGAAAAACUAAUGAACAUAAAUUAAAUUUCUAACUCAUUGAUCGCCAUAAAUGGUCCUAUUAGAAACUAAUUCUUGCAAUCAAUAAUUGGUAGACAUGAAAUAAAAAUGUGUCCUAGGCCUCCUGAUCUUCUAAACAAACAUAUAAGGGCAGAAGGGGUUUCAUGAACAUCCUCCCAAUGAGGAAUGUUAUAUGAACAGAUCCCAAUCACAAAUUAAAGAUUUGUGAAAAAAGUGAGAAACUCUAAACAACUGGGCAAUUCCAAUAAAGUUUGGUAAAAUUUGAUAAGAGAAUGAGAUAUUACUUAGGCCCUGUUUAACAAAUAAUUCCCAAUAAAUAUUUGAGUGAAACUUAGGCAUCAUUUGGCGAAUGAAUUUUUUGCGUGUUUGUCUAAAAUUUUACUGUAACUUACUGUAAAAAUUGUAGGAAAAAUUUUUAAAAUGAAAAACUUUUUCUUUUCUUUUUAUUUCUUUUUCUUUCUUUCUUUCUUUUUUCUUUUCUUUCCUUUCUUCUUCCUCUCCCUUCCCCGUCCCUUGCCACCUCUCCCUUCCAGUUGGAACAAGAAUUUUUUUUUUUGCUCUCUUCUCUCUCCCGUCCCCUUUCUCCCCUUUUCCGGGUGCUUUCUAGUCGUGCGACCAAAUCGGGCAAAGGGGUAUGGGAAGGAUGGUGGGGGAGGGAGAAGGGGGGAGAGAGGUGGCGUGGAAGAGGGUAGGAGAGAGGGAGAGGAGAGAGAGAGGAAGAAGAGAGAGAGAGAAAAAAACAAAAGAGGUGGCCUGCGGCUCCGAUUGCGGUGGAAGGAGAAAUGAGGAAGAAAUUUUUUUUUUGUGUUUUGGAUAUUUUGAAGUAUAUAGUUUAAAUAUUUUAAGGAGUUUUUGAAAUUACUAUAGUUAAAGUUGUUAAAAAUUUGGUAGGAAACAAACUUAGACAAAAUUGGUUUGCCAAACAGGCCAUUAGUUCUAGGAAUGCUUUGAAAAUCCUUGUUAGAGGGAUAGUGAAAUUCUUGUUAUCCAUUGAUAGGGUACUUUUAGUUGGUACAAUUGCUUAUAUUUUUCUUUUUAUUUAUACCAGAUAUCACCCUAUUUGACUGGUUUUACCCACAAUUGGUUUUUUUGCAUUGAUUUCAGAAAUUUGAGCGAAAAACGCUUAAAUGGAGGAUUCCUAACAGUUUGCACAUGGGCACGCCUAAGUUCAAGGUUCAAAGCCAGAAAAUUGAGCAGGGAUGUCAGACAGUUUCCCAAUCCAAGUCAAAUUAAAAAAAUUGGCAGCUGCUGAAGUUUCCUAUUUCUUUGCAGUCCACGUCAAUCUCGAGCAAUUGGAAAGCUCCUAGGACAUUGAUUUGUAAUAGGAACCCUUUUUAGGAGUUUUAUUGGUAUGAGGAGACCAAUCAAUUAAGAAGUCGACUAGGGAUAAUUCGGAGGGGGAAUGCUUUUUGCUUGAGAAAAACAUAGUUGUUCUUCUUUUUUCUUUUUGGCCAAAUUGGAGAAAAAAAACAAUUGUAAGCUUCGAACAGAUUAUCUUUUGGCAUGGCUUGUUCUCCCUUAAUGGAGAACUAAUCUCGUAUCUCUAGUCAAGGAACACUGAGGAUUUGGUUCAACUAUCACUGUGAGAUAUAAUUGAUUUUAUUUAUCUCCUCUAUUCAUUGGUAUUUGUAAGUUUUCUGCUUUAUAAAGUAUGAUUAUUGUGUGUGAUUAAAUAGGUGCGCAAUAUUUAAUUAUACACGUUCUCUAUUUGCUAAUUGGAAUAGUCAAAUCCGUAAUUGUUUGACUACUCUAGUCUUGAUAGCAACUGGAAUAAUUGGGUUUGUGUUGGAAAAAAUAUACAGUCUAAUUUAAAUAAACUCUCGUAGCGUGUUUAUUGAUUAGAGUAGGAUUUCUCUAGUUUCUAAUACAAUUGAGGAAUUAAAUCCUACGGUGGCACUUAGGGUUAUUCCUAAAUUAGAGAAAUAGUCAAUGAUCGUACCUUGACUAUCGAAACAGAAAGGAGAAACUGAUUGUCAGAUCGUAUCAGCAGUUAAAAACCUGUUUACUAAUGAAUGUUGGGAUUAUAAUUGCAUCAAUGAUUAGUACCUGAACCACCUCUGAAGUAAAACCUUGGCUAGAGCUUUUUCCCAUUAAUUGUCUCCCCCAAUCUCUUUUGCGUACUUUAUUACCUUAGUGAUAUUCCACUAGUUUUUAAUUCUUGACAAUAAAAACCCCCUCCUCUUUGACUUGAAAAAAGAGCAAAUAAUCCCCAAUCCCUAUGGAUUCGAUCCUGCUCACCGUUGUAUACAAAAUUCAUACUUUUAUUAAGUAAGUUUUUAUUGCACAGGCUCGACACCUGUCAUCCAUUAAUAUCUAAGGUCGUGUUAUUCAAUAAUGGUAAUUGCGAAAAUUUUUUUGCUCUUUUUUAAUUGAUUUUUAUUCAUAAAUUCAAGCUAUUAUUCAAAUUAUAGUAAUUUAUUGUUGAAUUUGGCUAGGUAUAAAGUUAAUUGAAGAUGCAUAAAAGUUUCAUAAAUAAGGCGGCCUGUUUAGACUUUGUUUUCGAUGAUGAUGUGUCGAUUAUGUUUGUGAACUUUAAUGACACAAAGGGAAUAUUUUGCAUCUGGGGACGAGUCCGGCAUCUCGCGCUGGAGUUGAUACCCGCGUAGUAAAAUAGUAAUCCAAUAUGCAAUUAACGAAUUUCUUAUGUUUAGUUAAGAAGAAAGCGGAAGAAAACAAGAAUAUGAGAACAGAUGGAAAUUAAUGUAAAACAAAGGAAUAAAAGGCAAAUUACAAUUUAUCUCCUAUGAUUUAGUAUUUUUAUACAUAACUCUCCUAUAGUUUUAAAAAUUAUAUAUAACCCUCUCAUAAUUUGAAUUAAAGCGUCAAAAUGAUGAAAAUGAUCAUUUGUAAAAGAACCUAUGAAAAUGUCGAAAUUACCCUUGUUUAAAAACUCAAAUGGUUGAAGUGAUCAACAUAUAUAAACAUAACAUGCAUGACACUCUAACCCGUAUAAUUUUACAUGUUACCAUAUAACCCUUUUAUGAUUUAAUGUUUUAAUAUAUAACUCCCUUAUUGUUUUCACUAUAUAUACAUAACUUGCUUGUAGUCAAUAAAUAAUUUUCAACUUUAUAGAGGGGCAUUUUUUAUAUUUUAAUUGACUCCGUCAUAGAUUGCAAAUUUCGUUACUUUGAUACUUUAAUUCAAAUCAUGAGCAGAUUAUAUAUAAUUUUUAAAAUUAUGAGAAGGUUAUGUAUAAAAAAUAUUAAACUAUAGGGGGAUAAAGUAUAAUUUACCUGUAUAUAUGCAGCGUCCCGCCCCUCUCCUGUCACUGGAUUGGGAGGACUGUAGUAUGAAAGGCUGCAUGCAUGCAACGUCCAGCCUCUCUACAAGCAUUUAGAACCAUAUAGAGAUGAUGCUUUAUCUGAGCUUACUUUAUCAGACGACCAAUGCCAAAGAAAUUGGAUACGCAUCUCCUUAAUACUACUACUCCAUCAUUAUUAGCUAGUGUUAUUAUUGAUUUGGUAGUAGUAUUCCUGUCACUUGGCUGCAUUAAAUAAGCUCAUUAAUCAAUUACCCUGAUUGUUUAUUCCAACAAAUUGCCGAAUAAUGAUAUUAAUUAAUACUUACUCCAUGAAGUAUGUAACUACUGCUGCUGCAGCUUAAGGGAUUCAGAUUUUCUGUAAUCACAGCAGUGUCAACAGCGUACACUUAGUUGUGGCUUGAAAUUAAAAAGAUAGAUUGAAUAGAUGACACAUGUUUGUUUUUCAUCGAGUGAUAAAAUUUAUUAUGUAUUCUGUAGUUAUUGUUGCAGUAUCUAUAUAUCUACAUAUUUGGUCUUUAACAUUUAAUAUUUACGUCCAUUAUAUUCUGUAGUUAUAUUGUUGUAAUGAUUUCCACGAUGACUUCCAAGUCAUCGUGCCUGUUUCAAGCCACCGUGAGCCAUCGUUCCGAUCAAUGGAGGUUCUUGCGUGAAUAUGUUUGUAUGGGAGAACGAAUAUGUAUCUAAUGAUACACAGAACAACUGAAAGAAAAAUGCUUAUAACAUUUGUUUUGCUGAACAACAGACAGAAAUUCAAAAUCAAACAAGUACGAUUGAACUUCAUGCGACAAUUUUAUUUAAUUUGGGCAUGGAUGACCAGCCCGUUGUUUAUUUAUUUAUCAUUUUCCUCUCCGGGAUUAACAACCAGGAGUACAUUUGAUUUCAUCCCUCCUUCGGUAGAUAGCGAUCGAGAGGAACUGAUCAGACAGCACCAGCAUAGGACCGUAGCAUGGACUUGAAAGUUACCUCGUGAUGAAGGUAGGGGAAGACCAUGAUGCCUCCAUAAACAGAAGAGUUCUUCAGAUAGGGAAGAACGUCAUCAACUAGCACAUUAGGUGGGAUGUAACCGCCCUCAGGUGCGAUAUCCUUGGAUAUAGGUAUUCCCAGGAACAAUAGAUUAACGCCUCUAUAAUUAGACCACCUGUCCCAACUCCGGAAGAGGAGACUGGUAUCCUUUGGAGGCCUAAUCUGACAAGAUGGGUUGUCGAAAAAUUCCACCCGCACCUGAUCAACGAGUCCAGUUUUGAUAGUUGCGUCAAGAGCAGGGUCAGGAAUAGGACAUUCCGCCGCUACAGCUAAGAUCACAUUUGGGUAUCCCUUAAGUGCCCGAGCAAGAUCAUCCAAGUAAUUCGUGUUUCCGCUGUGGAUGUGAAGCUCUACGCCAUCUAAAACAGCUUUGCCGAAUGGACGGUCGCUUGACUGACCGCCUAAGUAAGUGUUCCAGAUAUAGGCUGCCACUUCUUCUGCAUCUUCGACGGAAGAAAGCCUCGGAGGUCCUGCGAGAGAAAUAAAGACUUUGGUCUGAUGUUUCUGGCAAGAUUCUAUGUCUGCUGCGCUCGGUCGAGGAUGAAUUAUGCUCAAUUGAGGCAUCUGGCCACUGCCGAAAUCUUCCAGAAAGGCAAUAUUAACGUCGGUAGCGAAUUCUCGCCUGCAGAACUCACUCACACUUUUUGGUUCUGUAUGGCCUCGGCCCCAGUAUCGGACAAUUCCGGCAGCUUCGGAGGACCCAAUCAGAGAAGCAAUCAACAACAGGAAUGUUAUUGCUGAGAACAGUGGUUGCAAAGAGGCAGCCAUUUUCUUUUCUUUCUUUUCAGUGAUUUUUGCAGCUUUGCUUUGGUGAGUUCACUUGCACAAUGACUGACCAUUUUAUAGAUGAGUUUAUCUCAAGUGGAUGUUCAGCAUCUAGAAAAUCCAAACAUCCGUACAUGAAAACGUGAAUGGCAUGGUAUUAUUUUUCUGUUUUUAAUUUUGCGGGAGACUACCGUUGUACUCGCCUAACCUCAUCCGCAACUGGAUGAAGAAAGAUUUUUUUUUUGGACGUUACAUGGCAGCUAUAGGGGGAAGGGGAACAGGUCCAAAGCCAAGCUCAAAAGCCAAUUCCCAGUUGGUUGUAGUUAAAGGGAUCUUCCUCUAACCUGCCGUCACAUCCUUUCCAGAAGCUAAGACAGCAGAAACUAUGUCCACAGCCGAGAUAUGUCUCUGCUGAAACAUAGCCAAAUUCCCUGCUAUCCAUAGCUAGUAUACCACAACAUUAUUGAAAGCCAAUCCCCGGACCUGACCAACAAAUGAGUUUUGAGUGGCAGUCCAGGUGCAAAUGCAACCUCGUUGUGAUACAACACGGAGAAAAAGGUCUAAUGGUUAAGGCCGAGAUUUCAAUAAUUAGAGAUGUUUUAGGCUCAAAACCCUCUUUGCUUCUUAAAUUCCACCCUUCAAUCCUACGUUAUUGAAGGCUCAAAACAUAUUGAGCCUUCAACUACUCAUCCUAUUUUUCUAGAAUUUUAAUUAUUUUUUCAAAAAUUGAUUCAUGCCUUCCGUUUGGAUUCACCAUAAUGUCAUGCAAUGCUUUGUUGCUUUUAAUUCCUUAAUUUUAACGUAGCCCCAAACAUGGCAUACAAUAGUCACUCUCAAAAUAAAUGCAAGUAAUUAAUCAUACCAAACAUAACGUUUGGAUUAGGUAUUGUAGCAUACCUUAGUUUUAUUCUGUUCCCUGUUUUACUUAGUUUCAAGCAUGCCCUACAAUGUUCAAUAAUGCAAUUAAAUAAACAUACCAAAAAUAUCUAUACAUAUUUGAAACUAAAAAUAAUUAUAUCCAUAAUAAUCAAUAUAAAAAAUUGACUAAAAUACAAUCUUUUACUAACAUAAACUAAUAAUUUAAGUUCUUGUCCUCCAAAGAAAUAACAAUAGUCCAAAUCAUACAAGUUGAACAGCUUAGCAAAAUUAGCACAAUUGACUAACAAACACAACACAGAAUUACAAAAUAUUCAACAUUUUUGUAUUCUUUUUCUAUCUAAAAUUUACAAAUCAUACCCCAAAAACAAAAAAAGAACUAAUCUAAGUUCCUAUCCUCCAGAGAUAUAACACGAUUCCAAAUCAUAUAGUUGAACAAUUUAGCGAAUUAGCAAAAUUGACUGAAAAAAUACAAAAAGAGAACAACAAAAAUUUCAAUAUUUUUUGUGUUGCUUUCCUAACAAAAAUUUACAAAUCAUACCCAAAACAAAAAAAAAUGAAAUAUACUUACCAGAUACUUCAAUUUUUAGAAUCAUCAUGCACAAAAAAUAAAAAAUAGCUCUAAAUUUCGGCCUAAACCUAGAUCUAAAAGUGGACCUGAAUUAUAUAUAAUCGGACGUUAUUCAUGCUAUUAGAAUUGUUAGAUUUUGUUAGAGAAUAAAAAAGAAAUAUAAUAUUUUUACCUAUUCUUUUGUUGAGCAAUUAGAAUCAAAAUUAUGUCAUAGUUAUGACUAAAGAAAUGGAGAAGGAUAUUUUGCAACUACUUAAAGUUCUUAUUUAAACUAAAGACAUUGAAACUAUGAAAAUUAGUUUAGAAAGGAUAAUAUGAAAAUAAUGCACAAAAUUUGGCUCCAUAGAUGCAGCAUCUACAGAAGGGACGAUUUGCAUUCAGGGGUUGCGGAUAGGGGUGGGCAAAAUUAUCCGCUAACCCGAAAACCCGUCAUACCUGAUCCGAUCCGAAAAUUAGGAUAUUCGAUUUUUAUUAUUUGAUCGGGUUAAAAGAGAGUCGGGUAUCCGCUAAGAUGCGGGGCGGGUUAGGAUCACAUAAUUAAAAAUGCGCGGGUGCCCGAUCCGCCCCGCAUAUAUAUAUAUUUUAUUUUAUUUUUAUUUUUAUACACACACUAUAAAAUAAUAAGUUAGAACUAAAUAAGUAAUUUUAUUGAACAAAUUGCAUUACAAAUAUGAGAGACUAUAGUUUAUUUAUAAGAUUCAUUUGUAAAGGCCAAUGAUCUUAUAUUUUAUAGAAAAAAGUUUAAUUAAUGUGGAACAUAUAUAUUAAAAAUUGUGCUACUUAUUUCAAACUUUUAUUGAUUUUGAAUUCUUUUAAUUUUUUUUCCUUUAUCUUAUAUUCUCUUCAUAUGCUUGUUUCUUGGUGGGAAACCUUUUUUUAGAAAAAAAAAUUAUUAAAUCUUAGAUGAAUGUGUAAAAUAUAAAAUUAAAUUGGUAUAAAUCAUUUUUUUAAAAAAAUUAAAUGAUAAAUGGGGCGAGACGGGUAUCCGCUGAUCCGACCCUAUCUAACGGGUACCCGCUGAUAUGCAGGACAGGUAAAAGUCAGAAAAUGGCUGACCCGCAAGAUGCAGGUCAGGUCAGCCAAAUGGUGAAUGGGGCGGGUACCCGACCCGCGCCCAUUCCUAGUUGCGGAGAUAUGGAAAAGUAGCAUGGAAUGGGGUUAUUGCAAGGUAGAGCAUGAGGACAAGGGAAGAAGGAAGUAGGAAGGUGAUGAGGUGGGGGUUGUCAGAAAAGUUAAAGGAGGCUUGUUUGGACAGUAGAAAAAUUACUACGUUUUUCGUGAACACAUUUUCUUAUUAUCUUUUUAUUUAAUAUAUAUCAAAUCGUUGCAAUAAUUUUUCUAUAAAAAAUUCAGAAAAACAAAAUUAAGAAUAAGGAUGUUUGUUAAACAAAAAUUAUAUUAGUCAACUGUUUGGAUGGGAGUGUUUUUCAAACACUAGUUUUUCAAAUAUAAUAAAAAUUUUUAAAAAGUACUUUAAAAGAUAAUCUAAAAAUAAGUUUAAUUUUUAAAAAAUUUUCAAAAUAUAUUUUACAAACUCUUUUACUCUUACGUAUCCCAAAAUGUUCUCUAAAAAUAUCCCAAAAUAUGCUCUAAAAAUUUUGCUACAGUAAAAUUUUUUCAAAAAUAUCUCCAAAAAUAGUUAAUCCAAACAAUUUAGGAACGAUAAUUCACAAAUGUUACACAAAGUGUGGCUCCAUUUUGAUGGGUUACUUUUAGAAUGGUUUUAGAAAACUUUCAUAAUGGGAAUAUUCUUUUAAAAUCUUUAAGUGUAGUAUUUUUGGGUCCUUUGAAAAUUUUUGGUACGUUUUCAUUGUGGGCAUUGAAUAUAUUUAAAAAUGGUUGGUAAGCAAUAAAAUGAGUCUCCGCAAUAGCAAAAGAUAGUUGGUAAUGGGUCCACCGCAAGGUUGUGGGCUUAGGCUAGUGCGAAGGCGGUGGAGUGUAGGUGGCAAUUGGCAAAGAUUUAAGAUGAGUAAAUUUACUUUGGAUUAAUCUUACAUAUACAAUGUCACCGGUAAAUAAUCUUACAUAUAUACUGUCACCGAUAAAUAAAAAUUUUGGAAAUUUUUUUUUACUCAUAUGUUAUAUGUCUAAUAGCGAUAAUAUAAACGCUGACUGAUAGUGUAUAUAAAAUUUAUUCAUUUACGUUAUAGAAAUAUUAGAUUUACAUGUUAUUAUCAUUUUAUGAGAUUAAAUUUACUUAACAAUAAAAUUUACUUAACCAUAUUAGUUUCAUAUUUCUAUUUUUACCUGUUAAAUUUACUUAAUAAUAUUGCUAUAACAAUAUUGGAUUUGUUUGGAUAAAGUAUUAUUUGAAAUAAUUACUAUAGCACUUUGUACAGUGUAAUAUAUACGAGAUAAAAAGAUUAUUGAAAAUAUAAAAAGACAAAUUAAAAAUGUGUUUCUAAGGUAAAAAAAAAUAUUAUUUAAAAGUACUACGAUAUCCUAUCACAAACGCAAGAUUUUAUUGUUAAUGGACAUAGAUAGACAUGAAAUUGUCCACAAUAAAAAAAAAUAUAUAUUUAGUACAAUUAUACGUUGUUGAAGAUGUUCCAGCUCUUUCUGGCUUUACAUAUAAAGGGCAGCUUUUGACUGUUCAAAAAUCACGUGACUAAUUUCCACAAAUUAUGCGAAUUGCGUGAUGCAGAGCACCUCUGCCUAACCGUUGACUUUUAACAUACCACGUGAUACAGACGUGGAUUGGUUUGAUAGAGUCUGAGAUUUAAAUGUCAAUUAUCCAACAGGGAUCUCAGCAUUUUACUGCUAGCUCAGCUGCUAAGGAAUGAACGGUUCCAGUAGCCGAGAGCAGGAUACGCCUCCCACCAAUGUUUUAAAAACCGGACCGUUAAUCGAAUCGAUGAAGUGAAAGGGUCGAGAUUCAACCGGUCGGACCGGUUCAACCUCGGUUCAAUGAAUUUUUUAAAAAAUAAUUUAUAUAAAUAUAUAUGUGCACAAAAUAAGACAUGUAAUGGAUAAUUUAAUACUUUAUAUGAUGAAAAGUUUACUAUUUUUGAAUAACUUGGAUUUUUAAAAAUAAAUUUUUUAAAUUAUAAGUUAAAACAAAUAAAUUUCAUUUCAAUUUCAAUUAAUAUCUACCAAAAAAAUCUUAAAUAUAAUCCAAAAAUAUCACAAUAUUUGAAAUUAUACAAAAUUCACGUCUAUGAAAUUUAGACAUUGUGAACUUAAAUUUUAAUUUACAUUUUGGAAUUUAAAUUUACAAUUUAAAAAAGGAAGUUUGGAGUUCGAAGAAAAUCAAGAGAAUUGAAAAUAGAAAUGCAAAUUUGAUAAGAAACAAAAAAUGAGAUAAAAGUGAGUGGUUGUGGUAUUAAAUAAAUUGGGUUAAAGAAAAAUAAUUCUUUUUUAACUUUUUUAAAUUUAAUGGACAAAAACAAAAUUAAAAUAUGGAAGAAAACAUCAAUAAAUUAAAAAUAAAGAGAUUUGAUUAAAAAAUGAGUGGCAAAAGAAAAGAUGAUAGAGAGAGAGAGUGUUUGUGUGUGUGUGUUGAAGAUUAAAAAGAAAGAGUCAUGAAAGGAUGAUAUUUUGUAAAAAAAAUGGAACAAAAGAAAUAUGAGUGUUUGUUUUAUAUAAAUAAGUUAUCAAAAAAAACUAAUAAGAUGUGAUAGUGCAAUGGUUACUACAUUGGUCUUCUAUUACAAAGGUCUUGAGUUCGAAUCUUGAUAAUUACAUUUUGCAAAAAAAAAAAAAAAAAAAAAGGAAAACUCAAAAACCGGAAAUAACCGGUUCAAAUCCGGUUCAGAAGGGUUUCGCGGUCCGACCGGUUUUUGACCGGUUUCUUGACAAAGUCAAACCUGGCAGUGAAUCGGACCGGAGCCAUGGCCGGUUCGCGGUUCAACCGGUCGAACCGGCCGGUCCGGUCCGGUUUUCAAAACACUGCCUCCCACCGAGAUUUUCUCAAAAGGAAAUAUCUCUUAAUUUUUCAUGACAGAUUAAAAAAUUUCACUGUAGCAGAGUUUUUAGAGUAUAUUUGGAGAUAUUUUUAGAAAAUAUUUUGAAAUAUUUAAGAGUAGAAGAGUUUCUAAAAUAUAUUUUGAAAAUUUUUUUUAAAAUUUUUAAAACAUUUAAACUAAUUUUUAGAUUAUUUUUUAGAGUACUUUUUAAAAAUUUUUAUUGUAUUUGAAAAACUAGUUUUUGAAAAAGACUCCCAUCCAAACAGAGCUAAGAGCUGGAUAUUGCUGGCCAAAAUAAAUAAAUAAAUAAAAAUAAGAAAUUGGAUAUUAAUUUUUUUAUUAUUUGUUGAUGUUUUAUGAAACAUUCUCUUAUAUCCAGGAGGGGGAGCUGCGGUGUUAAAAUUUUGCGUCAUCUUUUAUAUUACCUUUUUUGUUCUCACACUAGGGUAAAAUGGCCUAACCAUAUUCAAAAAUUACUUUUUCUAGUUUUAUGUGGAAUUUUUAGCUUUGUUGCUAAUCAUUAUAAUUAAAGGUAACUAAUGAAAAAUAACUACUCGUAUAUGUCGUAUUUUCACAAAAGAUUAUAAAAACAUAAAUUUUUUUCAACAUGUAAAACUAAUUUCUAGAAAACUUAUUUUAAUAACUAGGUUAGGACUGAUUUUUUUUUUUUAUCGUAAUGUAGGUAUCAAUAUCAAACUAAAUCCAAAUAAAAAUGAAUCAAUGUUUCCAUUUUAAUUUGUAUGUCACCAAGGAUUUCUCCCACAAGCACGCAAUGAUUUUCCACCAUGAUUUCAAAAUUUUUUCCAUGAAGACUUUUAAGUCGUCAUUGUGAAAUUGCACAAAACCUGUAGAUUAUUAUUAGAAAAUUUAAAAGAAAUAAAAUAAACUAACUUAAAGCUAACAUAGAUGUGCAACAAAAAUUAUUUUACACCUUUCAGGAGAGAGGUCAUUGGAACGAAGUUAAAUCGGCAUUGCAUCUACUGAUGGAAGUGUUAGAAUCGAGUCACAAUGAGGACCGGUCACUCAGCACAUGCUUUGUUGUUCCUCGAAAAUCGUUAUCCAUAUUAAAGCUCGAAAAACAAUUUAAUCAAAUCGUACGCAGUACCAUUCAUCCAUUUUUUUGGUCUUUACUUUAACAGCACAACUUAGGGACAUUGAGUUUCGGCAAAUUCUUUUGUCAAAAAUGGCCCAAGUAUGAUUUUUAUUUGAAAACUACAAUAUUGUUGGUCUCUUAGCUUUUUAAAUUGUCUAAAAUAAUGUCAUAUUUCUACUCUAGAAUAUUAAUUUAGUCUUUCAGUUGUCAACUUUUGCACUGAAUUUUCACUUAUGGAGGAGGUGGCAGGGGAGAGAGGAGGAGGGGAGGAGAGGGAAGGGGAAGGAGAGGUAGGUCAUCUUUAUCUUUAAAUAACCUAAAGGAGCAGGUGAUCUUUAAAUAAUAAAAACUACCCUUUACACAUGGUUUAGACAAAAUAAUAAUAAUUUAAGAAGGGAGAAAAAAUAUAAAAUUUAAGAAGAAGAGAAAAGGCACACGUGAGAUGCACAAGUUGGUCACAAGUUGGAUGAUGCUGUUGGACGUUCAAAAAGAAUUAAAGAUCAAGCGCAAACGUGUUAGUACUGUCUUAUGAAUUGGUUUAACAUUAAUUUGCCUGUAACCUCCUAUAUAACUCGCCAAACUAAGCAUAAAUGCAUGGGGCCGAAGCACUAAUUAAUUGAGCCAAGAUUAUUUUCCACUUUGUGUGACGACAAAGGACAUCUUGGUGUCGUCGGUUUUGCCAAUGUCUCGUCUGUAUCACCUGUUUACCUCCAUUCAUAUAUAGUUGCCAUUGUGUUCGUUCUAUGUAUCCUGUUGUUUGGUUUAAGAUUUCUCCACUCGAGGAGGGAUUUGGGAUCUUUUUGUUUGGAAGGAAAAUAUUUUCCAAAAAAUGUUUCCCUGAUUUUCUAUUGUUUGAUUGGGUUAUUGCUUGCGAAAAUUUUUCAUAUAAAUGAAUUGAAAUUAUUUUUCAUGUCCGACUCGGAUGGCUAUCCAUUCAAGCUCCCUUCCUUGCUGUUUUUUAUCUCUAUUUUUCUUUGUCCCGGUCUUUCUUUCUCUUAGAUACAAGGACCAUGCGCACGUAUGGGGAGAUCUAGACUUGAAAUUGAAAGGGGCUAUAGGAAGAUCGUGAAGGAUGCUAGAGAAAGUUUUGAUGUAUGAAAAUGAAAUGAACUUGCUAAUCUUGUGCUAAUACGCAGUAAAUUUGAGGCAUGUUUGUACGAUGGUCAUUAACUAUUACCGUUUGGAUUGCUAUUUCCUAAAGUUUUUAUCCAAAACUUGUUGGACUUGUGUGGGCCAGCCCAUUUGUGGGCCAACCUAAAACACCAGUGGCUAAGACUCGAGGGCUUCAUGUGACGGAAAAUUCUGGCAGCCGCAAGAAAGUACUUUCAUUUUUUGUGUGAAGAAUUCCAGCCGCACAAGAGAGGAGAGAAACGAAGAGAGAGAAAGCGUGAGAGCUAGAGAGAGAAAAUUCUUUGCAACUUUGAAGCCUCAGUUGGAAGGUGGUUUGAAAUCCGAUUGAGACGAAAUUUUAAACACACGAUCCUCUCGUCAAUCUCUACUCAUCUACAGGUUCAAAUUUCAUAUUUCCUGUUCGUUUGGUAACACCCUUCCAAACUCACUUCUUUGAUAGUGAUAAUUUUUGGGUGUAAUUUUGUAGCAGAUUGGCUUUGUUGGUAUUGGUGAUAUUGUUGUCAUUCGAAUAUUUCGGGUAGACCUGUAUAUUUUCAUUAUUGUGAUAGUGGAGAUUUUGACUGGACUAGAUCCCAUAAUUUUUUUCAAUUUGGGUUUUCCACAUAAAAGUCCGGAUGUCCUGUGCCUUUUAUUUUUCUUGCAUGUUAUUAUCACUACUGGUAUUAUUAUUUGGUGAUUUGGUUUGUUCCUUUUUUAACUGAUAUUUGAGAAAAGAAAAAUUUGUCCUGGACUAACUCUGAUAUUGUGUGACUGUACCGAUACCCUUUUCCCAACAAGUGGUAUCAGAGCAGUCAGGUUAGGCUGCUCAUUUGUACUGGUUAAAAAUGAAUUAUUUGGAUAGUGGUUGCAUGAUAAAAUUGAAUGCUACUAAUUAUUCGAUUUGGAAACCUGGAAUGGAAGACUACCUGUAUUGUAGAGAUUUGUUUGAACCUGUUCUAGGGGAUAAAGGUAGACCAAGUGAUAUGAGUGAUGAAAAUUGGGCUGUUAUGCACAGGAAAACUGUUGGUAACAUUAGAAAAUGGAUUGGUCUGAGUAUUUUUCAACAUUUUACUAAUGACACCAGAGCUGAUAUAUUAUGGAAAAACCUUGAGAGCAUAUAUGAACGGAAGACUGGUUUGAACAAGGCUAGUUGUCUGAAGCAGAUUACUCAGAUGAGAUAUAAAGAUGGGGAAGAUAUAUGAUUGAACACCUCAGUAAUUUUCAGAGAUUGAUAAAACCAGACAACUACAUUAAAUUUGAAUUUGGAUGAUGAAGUGCAGGCUCUAUUAUUAUUUAGUUUACUACUGGAUAGUUGGGAAACCAUGGUGAUCUCCGUCAGCAAUUCAGCCCCGAAUGGUGUGUUGACUAUGGCUAUUGCAAAAGAGGCCGUGAUGAAUAAAGAGUUCAGGAGAAAGGAACAAGGAAUUGUCUAUGAGUCCCAGGCCCUGGUGACAGAAAGGAAAGAAAGAAAAGAGAAAAGCAAAAGUAGAAGACCCCAUAACAAAAAUGACAAAAUUCAGAGGUAGGUCUGAAUCUCGAAAAAAUAUUGUAUGCUAUUAUUGUAAAAAGAAUGGACAUUAUAUAAAGGAGUGCAGAAUCUUAAAAUGGGAACAAGCUGAGAAAAAGGUGAUGAAAAGACUACAGUAGUUGUGGCAGUUCAUGAUGAUAUGUUUGUAUUCUGUGAUGAUGGUCAGGUAAAUAUUAUUCAUUAUGGCAGUGAUUGGGUAGUUGAUUCGGGUGCAUUCUACCAUGUUACUCCUCACAGGCAUUUCUUCUCAACCUACACCGAGGAGAUUUUGAAUAUGUUAGGAUGAAAAAUGAGGUCUCAUGCAAAGUUGUUGGCAUGGGAGACAUAUAUUUGGAUACAGAUACCGGGUGCCAGUUGAUAUUCAUCUUAAUCUUAUUUCUACAGGAAAACUUGACGAUGAGGGUUACCGUAGUUUGCAAGGUGGAGGCAAAUGGAAACUCAGCAAAAAAAAUCUCGUUGUUGCUAGAGGAAAGAAGCAGAGUACCCUCUACUUGAUGCAAACCAAGUUAGGGAAGGGAGAAGUGAAUGCAGUUCAUGAUUCAUCAAUUGACCUUUGGUAUAGGCGACUUGGGCACAUGGGUGAAAAAGGAAUUCAGACACUUGUUCGCAAAUACCUCCUAUCUGAAGUUAGAGGUAAUGAACUUAAAUCUUGUAUUGACUGCAUUUAUGGAAAACAAUACAGAGUUGCAUUUCAAAAUUUUUCUCCAUCUAGAAAAUUGAAUCCGUUAGAAUUGGUGCACACUGAUGUUUGCUAUAUGAAAGAUAAGUCUUUUGAUGGUACUGUUUAUUUUAUAACUUUUAUUGAUGACUUUGGUAGAAAGGUUUGGUGUUUUGUUUUGAAAUCCAGAUAUUAGGUUUUGGAUGUAUUUAAAGAUUUUCAUAGCAAAGUUGAAAGAGAAACUGAUAAGUAGUUAAAGUGUGUAUGUGCUGAUAAUGGUGGUGAGUACAGAGGACCAUUUGAAAUCUAUUGCAAGUCCCGCAGAAUUAGAAAUUUCCCGAUAAACUAUUACGUGAUUGAAGAGCAGAAAUUUCCAUUCCUUAACUUUUGGAACUUUUGAUCUUAAAAACUAGGUACCAAAACCUUUGUUACUUUCUCUAGAUUCUCUCUUUCUAUUGGCAAUUAUUUUUACUCUCUCAAAAGUUUGAUUUCUAAUAAUUCUCCUCUAUUCUUCAUAUUACAUUGCAUUUUCCUAUGUUUCUUUACAUUCCAUACUAUGAGAAUCUUAUUGAUUUUUAUUUACAAUCGAUUAUAAGAAUGAUACGAUGUGAAAUAAUAAUUUUUCUGUUCGCAUUAGAAUGAAUUAAAUAUUCUAUAUCGAGCAAUUUAUAGGUUGUUUAUCUUGCUUACUGAUCUAAUUUUUGCGUCAACAGAUUUAAACACUUUAGAAGAAUUCUAUACUUAUUUUUGCUAAUAAUUGAUUUAGUUGUUUAAUUUCUAAUUGAUAUACAUUCUAGCUUUUCUGCCAACAACUCUUAUGAAAUACCAACUAAUGAUUUUCAGGUAUUACAUUAAUUCUACUCACCUAAGUUUCACUCUCGAAACUCAAUUUGACCAGAUUAGCAUAAAAACAAACUGCAUAAAAACAAACUGCCCUUCCAAUUAUACCACUUUACAUGAACAAGUAUUAAUUAAACUACUGGGUACGUUUGGAUUGGUGUUUUUGAGCCUGUUUUUGAAAAACUGUUUUUCACAUUCCAAAUGCUACAGUAAAUGUGUAUUUCAAAAACAACUUCAAAAACACCAAUCCAAACAAUAUAUCAAAAACAACUCCAAAUAUAUUUCAAUUAUGCAUAUUUAAUUUGUAUAUUUUAAUAAGUAUAUUUCAAUUUGUAUAUUUUAAUUAUGUAUUUUAUAUGUAUAUUUCAAUUAUAUUUUAAUAUAUUUUAAUUAUAUAUUUUAAUAUGUAUAUUUCAAUUAUGUAUUUUAAUAUGUAUAUUCAAUUAUGUAUAUUAUAUAUAUAUUAUAUUAAUAUAAAUAUAUUUAUUUCAAUUAUGUAUAAUAUUAUAUAUAUUAUGUCAAUUGAAAUAAAUAUUAUAUAUUUAUAUAAAUACAUUUAUUUAUAUAUAAAUUUAUAAAUAUAUUUAUGCAAUUUUGUUUUAUAAUAUAUAUUAAUAUGUAUAUUUCAAUUAUGUAUAUUAUAUAUAAAUUAUAUUAAUAUUAAUGUAUAUUAUAUAUAUUAUACAUUUCUAAUAUUAUAUAUUUACAUAUACAUAUCAUAAAUAUUUUAUUUUAUUUAAAAUAUAUUUUUAUAUAUUUAUAAUAUAUUUACAUAAAUAUUAUAUGUUAUAUAAAUUAUAUAUAAUAUAAUAUAUAAUUUAUUAUACAUUUAUAUAAAUGCACAUUUAUACAUAAUAUAUAAAUAUUUAUGUAUAUUUAUAAUAUACAUUUAUAUUAUAUAUUAUAUAUAAUAUAAUACAUUUAUAAUAAAUUUAUACAUUUAUAUUAAUAUACAUAAUAUUAAUUUUACAUUUAUACAUAAUAUUAAUACAUGCAUACAUUUAUAUUAAUUAUAUUAAUACAUUUCAACAUAAUAUUAAAACAUAUUUAUAAUAUAUUAAUUUAUACAUUUAUAUAAUAUUCAUUUAUAAUUUAUACAUUUUUAAUAACAUACACUUAUACAUUUAUAUUAUGUUAUAUUAUAUAUAAUAUAACACAUUUAUACAUUUAUAUUAAUAUACAUAAUAUUAAUUUUACAUUUAUACAUAAUAUUAAUGCAUAUAUACAUUUAUAUUAAUUAUAUAAAUACAUUUUUACAUAAUAUUAAUAUAUAUUUAUAAUAUAUUAAUUUAUACAUUUAUAAUAAUAUACACUUAUAAUUUAUAAUAUAUUUAUAAUAUUAAUUUAUAAUUUAUACAUUUAUAAUAAUAUACACUUAUACAUUUAUAAAUAUAUUUAUAUUAUGUAUUAUAUAGAAUAUAAUACAUUUAUAUAUUUUUAUAUGAAUAUAUAAAUAUAUUUAUUUAUAAAUGUAUUAUAAAUGCAUAAAUGUAUAUUUAUAUAAAAAUUAUCAUUUAUAAUUUAUACAUUUAUAUAAUACCAAUCUCCCCCUUUUUGAUGAUGACAAACAAAAUGAAGAUUUCUUUUAUCAAAUAAGUUCAAAUAAAGCUCCCCCUUAGAAAGUGCCAACAUACAAAGAAAUUUCAAUAAAUCCUACUCCCCUUUUUGGCAUCAAUCAAAAACAAACUCCCCCUUUAUUUUUCAAAUCAAGACCAUAUUGCCCAAACAAUCCAGAAGCCUGUGACCACCAGAAAAUAAAUAGCCAUUGUAUACAUAUACUCAGCAAUUUUUUCCUCAGAGCAACUAUUAUCUUAUCAAAAUAUUCAUCCCCAAAGAUACUAAGAGUAAAUGGGGAAAGAGUUAUUUUAACACCACAAUUUCUCAUGGAUACCGGAUUUCUAGAAAAAAUCAUUGUUACAAAUCCAGAGGAUACUCAUUGUCUUGGAACUCAUCUUGGAUAUUUCAUCAGAAAAAUGUUAGACUAUGGACAGUGGGCAACUGUACAUAUCAAAACAGCACCAGCAGAAUGGACAGGACUUUUUGACAUAGAACCAGCAAUACAUAGAAUGAUGAUUACAGUCAGCAAUAUACCACCAGCAAGGAGAACGACAGAAGAAUUAGAGAAAAUCAGCAGCAGUCUUGUGGAAUGUCCAUUAGCAUUAAAAGAACAAUUGAUAAAUGCUAAAAUGAUCCAAUUAGCCUACAGACAUUUCAUAGAUCAAUGGGAAAAUGGAAUUAGGAAAAUAAAAUACAAAAGAUAUAUGUCCCAUACAGGUUUAAAUUAGAAAAAGAUUUCACUAUAAGUACCAAUUAUCCAGAAGUCUUUGAAAAAUAUUUAGAAGGAUAUUAUAUGAGCACUGGAGCAAGACAUUUGGAUAUCGAAGCAGAUGAAGAAUACAAUGAUGAUCAUUAUUGGGAAACAAUGGGACCAGAAGAAAUAAGCAACAUCGAAAAUAUGAUGGAAGGAUAAUUCUUCGGCCAUCUUGUCUAAAGCUAAAAUGUAUAGGUUGGUCAUAAAGCUUUUAUUAGUUACCAGGCCACAUUGUAUAGUUUGGCCAAAUUUAUUUAGAACCUAUGUAUAGGCCGGUCAUAAAGUUAGAAUCUAUGUAUAGGCCGGUCAUAAAGUUUUCAUUAGUUGUCAGCUACAUUGUAUAGUUAGGCAGUAUUGAUUUGAUGUUUUUACGGAUUUCAGUAGGUUUUAAGUCCGUAAAGUUAGCAUGUCAUAUCCACGGACUUCGAGUCAAAAAUUUUUUAAGUCCGCACAGUUUAUACAAGAAGUCUAUAAAGGCAUACGUCCCAAACCAAUGUUGGGUACGAUGCACUUACAUCCUGUAAAUUAAAGCAUCCAAUAAAAACUCCAAUUUCAUACGUUCCUUAGCAGUUUUUUUUCCAAGUUCUUAGCUCUCUCAUAUUGCUAGCAUAAGACGAAAGAGAAAUAAGAAAGUAGAGAUUUAGGCAGCCAACCCUAGAUUAGAUCCAAACAACCGGAAACUUUGAAAAAGAUACCUUGUUUUUAGGAUCCUAAAAGACCAAAAGACGGUGUAGUACCCAUCAAAGCCUUUCAGUUACAAAGCAGGCGCCAGGGGAAGAUCCGGUGAGGCAAAACUCCUAAUCACAAGAUUCCCAUUUUCAUAGCAUCAGAAGGAAAAUUUGGAUUUAAAGCAAGGAAGGUAAAAUCUCAGUUAUCUUUCUUAAAGUAUCUAGUAGUCAUUUAUUUCUUAAAUUCCAGUUAAUCAUCCUGAUAUUUUAUAUGAAUUUUGAACCGCCUUUUCAAUUUACAUCCACUCCAGAAAACGCAUACAGAUUAGCAUUACGAACCCUCAGACAACCAGAUACCUAUUAUUAUUUUGAUAAAAUUUUAGAAGACAUAGAAACUUCAGACCAGUGUCUAGCAAAUAUACAAAUAGAAGAAUCUAGAUUAGUAAAAGUAGCACACCACCAUCCCGCAUCCUUUCUUAGAAAUAUUAGACAAGCAAAGGUAGAUUUACUUUGGCACAGAUACUCUGAAUUAAAAUCUAUUGAAAGACAAAAAUUAGAAGAAAAAGAAGAAUAUAAAAACAGAAGGAAUUCCUGUAAUAAAAUUUGUGGAAUAUCUGAAACAUAGGUCUUUAAUUGGAGCCGUAAAAGUCCAACAUAGUUGUAGCUUGGUUAAUUGGAGCCGUAAAAGUCCAACAUAGUUAUAGAUUUUUAUAGAUUUUGGUAUCAGAGCUUGCCGUCCUGGUGAGCCUGAUCCCUAAAAGUCAAAGAUAGAUAAAAGAUUAGAAUAUUUAGAUCUAGAAAUAAAAAAUAAAUCUAGGAAUAUAAUAACUUUAGAUAAUCAUAAGCAUAUUUGUUAUUUUCAAAACACCUAUAAACACACUUUACAUAGUAAAGAAGAUAAAAAUUAUAAUAGUCUUAUUGAUCUAGUAAUAUCUUUAGGGGAGUCUUUAGAAAAACAUAAAGAGAAUAAUUCUCGAAUAAUAGAAAAUUUAUUAGAAUCAAUAAAAAAUAAAAAUAAAGUAAUAAAGACGCUAGUAGAAAAUCAGGAUUACUUAAAAGAACAAAAUAAUAAAAAGAAUAAAAUAUUUAGAAGAACUAAAACAAUUAAAAAUAGAACGUAAAAAUAAUACAGAAAAAAUAACUAAAGAAGUGCUAGAAGAGAUAAGACAAAAAUCAAUAGAUCUAAAACAAUCUUAUAAUCAAGUAGAAGCACUAUUACAUAAAAUAGAGAAAAUAGUAUUAAGUUAAUAUAUGAGUAAUAGUAAUAAGCCACUUCCCUCACAUUAUGUCUUUUAUCCAGAAUAUUUAAAAACAUUAGAAGAAUUAAAAUAUUAUCAUCAAGACUCGUUGGGAUUAACAGAUUAUUCAGGAGCUAGUGCAUCAGAUAAAAUAUAUCCUAAACAAAAUAACUCUAUAAUCGCAUUAUUAAUAUCCCUACAUAAAAAAGUAGACACAAUAACAGAAAAGGUCAGAGUCCUACAAAUAGAUAAGUUUGAAAAAGACUUAGAAGAAAUAACGGACCAAUUUAAAAGAUUACCUGUAACAAAGAAAGAGAGUAAACCACAUCUUAGUAAUAUAUUUUCAGUAAAUCCUAAACCACAAAAAUUCUAAAAGAUGGCUAGUAGAACAUCAUUUUCAGGACCUAGUAGAACAGUCAACGAAAACACACAAGUAGGAACUAGUAUAUUAAAUAUAGGAAGACAAUUAAGAAGGAGUAGGAGCAUGCAUUUAGAAGAGGCAAUAGACGUAGAUAGAGACUUGGAAAUAUACAGGAAUAAUGAAAUAAGUUUAUUAAACCCAAGAACCUUGUUCUCAGUAGGAUUUCUUAGAAGUAAUACAGGAUUAUUUAGACAAAGUAGAGAAGAACCAGUAAGCGCAUUAAGUAACCCCGUAAAUCUUAGAAUGAUAACACAACAAAGCAUAAACCAAAUUAGAAGACAGUAUACAUAUAUGCAUAUAGGAUUGAUAGUUAUAGGAAUUAAAGGACUAACAAGAAAAGGAUUGGGGAAAAAAGUACUAUUAGCAGUAUUAGACAAAAGACAUAAAAAAAUAGAAGAUGCAUUAAUAGCCAGUAUAGAAGUAGAUAUGAAUCAAAAUGGAGGAAUAUUUUAUUGCAGCCCAGACUUUAUGAUAACCUUAGAAGAUAUAAAAAAUCUAGAAAUAGGAAUACAAACUAAAGGAUAUGAAAAUUUUCAAGGAGAUAAUUUGACAAUAAGUAUCGGAUUUAUAGGAAGAUUAACAAAUAGUAGUAAAACCAGAUAUAAGGUAGAAAUAAAGCCAAUAGUAGAGGCUAUGGCAAGUAAAGGAAUAAAAUUAAUCAAACCAAUAGAAGUAAGUUCAGAAAACUUGGCAGGAGAAGAAUGGGAGAUAAGUAAAUUUAUAGAAGAAAAUAAUCCAAUGAUACCAAAAGAUAGUAUAAUAUAUAAAAAUAGUCAAGGAAGAACAAGCCUUAGAUUUUACAAUUAUGAACCAACAGCUUUAGGAACAGAUAAUGAAGAAAUGGACAAAUCUGACAUAGAAUCAGACCUUAUCGAAAUAAAUUUAUUAGAAGAAGAAUUAAUAGAAAUAAAUCAUAGAAUCCUUUAUCCAAAAGAAUUAAAAAUGGACUUAACAGAAAAAGAACUAUUUGAUUUAGAAAGAAAAUUAGAAGCAAAUGGACAAAUAGCAUUAAACGAAGUAUUAUACUAUGAUAAUAUAGGAAAUAUUAGAGUUAAAAUAGAAGAAGAAAAUUCUGAAGAUAAUUUAGAAGUAGCCAGCAUAAUAUCAUAUAGAGAAUUAAUGGACCAACAACAACAAAGUGGUGAAAGCAGUAACAGACCAACAGGUAUGCAGACUGAUCCUAGUCACACAGGAAAUGUUAGAACAUAUGAACCAGGACAACCACCCAAAAUAGUCUAUAAUGAAUAUAGAGAACCAGAGGAAAAAUAUAGUUCUAGGGGAAAAAGAAGACCAUUAGAAUUAGAAAUAAAAGAGCAUUCAGUAGAUGAAGGAAAAACUUUAAUGUUAACAUCUUACGAUCCACAAAUGAUAGAAGAUGUAAUAGGAAGCUGGAAAGCUAGAGUAGUAAGAAACUAUAUACAAAAAGGAUUUGAUCAUAACGUAAUAGAAAUGUAUACAUAUUUAGAAACAUUUUUAGGAGGAGUAGCAAGAGCAGCAUGGGAAGCAUUUAAACUGAAAUUUCCAGAUAGGUUACAACAAGAUCAGGCACAUGGGGUCAAUCCAAUGAAUUUUGUUAAUCGAGUAGAAGAAAUUCUAUUAGCAACAAGUCCAAAUAGAGGAGGAGUGAUGACACAGAUAGAAUCGGUAAGAAAAUUAGAACAAUUAUCAAUCAGAAACUGGAAAUAUAUUAAACCUUUUUUACAAGACUUUUUAUAUUAUAGUUGUUUAGCAGGAUGUUUUUAUGAUGAAGGAAUUAUAGAAAAAUUAUUUGCAAAAUUACCAGACGACUUAGGAAAGAAAAUAUAUACCUUAUACAAAGCAACGCCCAUGGAACCAACAUUAAAAAAUGUGAGUACGGCAGUAAGAUUUAUAAUCAAUAGACUAGUAGAAGAAUGUACUUUUAUAAAAAUACAAAGACAAUUAAAAGGAGAAUACAGUUUUUGCUCAGAAAUAUACACACCACAAAAAUAUGGAGAAAAAGAUAAAGAAAAAAGAAAAUAUAGAAAGCCUUAUAAAAAUUAUAAAAGAUACCCUAGAAAACAAUAUUAUCUUAGGAAAAGCAAAGCUAGAAAACCAUUUCUCAAAAAAGAACAUCAUGUUAGAAGAUAUAGACCAGAAAGAACUUAUGGAAAUAGAUUAUCUUGCUUUAUUUGUAAACAACCAAAUCAUUUAGCAACAAAUUGUCCACAAAAACAUAACUCUUUUAAUAGGGAAGCUCACUUAAUAGAAUU